rnacentral:lncRNA from 1 species
AUGAAUGGAAUACCUUGAAAAAUGUGCCUCUGUCAUAAUCUUCUUUCUUAGCCCGUCUAUAUCCGGCACACACAAUCGGUUUUGGCACUGAAGUACUCCUUCUCGCGUAAGCUCAAAUGCCUUGGUCGCACCACUCUGAACGUUCUCCUUAAGAUGUAAUAAAAUAGGAUCUGCAUAUUGCUUCUCUUUCACUUCAGCUACUAAUGAAGAUUCCGCAGCAUUAUGUACGAUAAGCUCUUUAUUCGGAGUUUCAAGAAGGCGAACUCCCAAACUAGCUAACUGGUGAAGAUCUUUAACCAUCCCUUGCCUUUCUAUAGGCGCCAUCAUAGCCUUACGACUUAACGCAUCAGCUACCACAUUUGCUUUCCCUGGAUGGUACAAGAUAUCAACAUCAUAGUCCUUUAAUAGUUCAAGCCAUCUCCGCUGCCUUAAAUUUAGAUCCUUCUGAUUAAAAAUAUAUUGCAAGCUCUUAUGGUCAGUAUAUAUAUCAACGUGAACCCCAUAUAAGUAGUGGCGCCAUAUCUUUAAAGCAAAAAUAACCGCUGCCAGCUCAAGAUCGUGUGUAGGAUAAUUUUUCUCAUGUGGCCGUAAUUGUCUAGAAGCAUAUGCUAUUACCUUACCAUGCUGCAUCAAUACACAUCCUAAACCAAUUCUGGAAGCAUCACAAUACACUGUAUACCCUUCGGUGCCUUCUGGUAGUACCAACACGGGUGUAGAAAUCAACUUGUUCUUUAAAUCUUGAAAACUCUUCUCACAGGCAUCAUUCCAUUGGAAUUUGGAUGCUUUAUGGGUUAGCUUGGUUAAGGGUGCUGAAAUGGAAGAAAAGUCUUUGACAAACCUUCUAUAAUAACCGGCCAACCCAAGAAAACUACGAAUCUCCGUAGGCGUUGUGGGCCUUGGCCAGUUCUUCACAGCCUCUAUCUUUUGAGCAUCAACCUUUAUCCCUUCACUAGAUACAAUAUGACCCAAAAAUGCCACCGACUUUAACCAAAACUCACAUUUAGAGAACUUUGCAUAAAGCUUACAAUCACGAAGAGUCUGCAAUGCCUGUCGUAAGUGAUUGGCAUGGUCCUCUUCUGAUCUAGAAUAAACUAGAAUAUCAUCUAUAAAAACUAUCACAAAUACAUCCAGGAAUGGCUUAAAAACCCUAUUCAUCAAAUCCAUAAAAGCUGCGGGUGCAUUUGUUAGCCCAAAUGACAUAACUAGAAACUCAUAAUGACCAUACCUUGUUCGGAAAGCUGUUUUGGGUAUAUCUUUUUCUUUGACCCUCACUUGGUGGUAACCUGACCUCAAAUCAAUCUUAGAAAAGCACUUGGCGCCCUGUAACUGAUCAAAUAAAUCAUCAAUUCUUGGGAGAGGAUAUUUAUUCUUAAUAGUCACCUUAUUCAAUUGCCGAUAAUCAAUACACAUCCUCAGCGAGCCAUCCUUUUUGCGUACAAAUAACACUGGUGCUCCCCAAGGGGAAAUACUAGGCCUAAUGAACCCCUUUUCUAGCAAAUCUUUCAAUUGCUCUUUCAAUUCUCGUAAUUCUGCUGGGGCCAUUCUAUACGGAGGAAUGGAGAUUGGUUGGGUGCCUGGUAUUACAUCAAUACCAAACUCUACUUCUCGUUCAGGAGGCAAACCUGGAAGAUCUUCAGGAAAUACAUCAGAAAAUUCAUUUACCACCGGAACAGCGUGAAGAGUUGGUGGCUCCGCUUCUGUAUCCCUUACUCUAACUAAAUGAUAUAUAUAUCCCUUGGAAAUCAUUCUUCUCGCCUUAAAAUAAGAAAUAAAUCUACCUCUUGGCACGCUAAUUUCACCUUUCCAUUCAAGGACUGAUUCAUUUGGAAAAUGGAAAUAUACCUUUUUCGUGCAGCAAUCAAUUGUGGCAUAACAAGACGCCAACCAGUCCAUACCCAUUAUAACAUCAAAAUCUACCAUUUCUAACUCCACAAGAUCAGCCAUCGUAUCACGACCACAAACAGUUACUAUGCAGUUUCGAUAAACCCUUCUAGCUAUAAUAGAUUCCCCGACCGGUGUGGACACUUCAAAUGGCUUAACUAACAGUUCGGGUAUUCUUUCGAACUUUCCAGCAACCAAUGGAGUAACAUAAGAUAAUGUAGAACCGGGAUCAAUUAAGGCAUAUAAAUUGAAUGAAAAUAUAGCCAACAUACCCGUAACCACAUCUGGAGAAGCCUCUAAAUUCUGUCGAUCUGCUAGAGCAUACGUACGAUUUUGAGCCCCGCUAGAACUCGUGGCUCCUCUAUCACCUCUAACACGACCCAUUGGCUGUGCACCCCUUCCUGAAUAAGGCAUCGAUGAUGAUGAUGCAACAAAUGACCCCGUAGGUCGUGCCAUACCCCCUAUGUCCCUUCGUGGGCAUUCCCUCAUCAUAUGCCCCGACAUACCGCACCAAAAGCAAACAUUGGUCCCCAGCCGACAUGCGCCCAAAUGAUACCUUCCACAUUUAUUGCAUGGCUCUCGAGGAGGUCUUGAUUGGCUCAUAUUCCCUUGACCUUGGUACCCCACUGUCCGCGAACUCUGACUCUCACUUCUGUGCCCAAAUUGAUUUCCUCUGAACCCUUGGAACUGUGGUGGGGCACUAGCUGUAGAAUAAGAGGAUAAUGGCCUAGGUGGUCUAGCAGAAAACUGUGGUCUGAACCCUCUUUCGAAUGCCAUGAACUGCCCUGUAGAUCUGGCCCUCUUGGAAUAUCCUCUUUCUGAUUCCUGUGUUCUUCUCCUCUGCCUCUGAUCUUCCAUUUUUUGUGCAAAAGCUUGGAUUCUCGCUAUGUCCAUAUCUUUGUUCAAAGCAGCAAUAGUACAAUCUCUAACCAGAUAUGGAUCUAGCCUAUCCACAUAUUGAUGAACUCUGUCAACCAUAGUAGCUACAACAUUAGGAGCAUAUCUCGACAAGGAAUUAAAUCGAAGACUGUACUCCCUCACGCUCAUAUUCCCCUGACGAAGAUUUAAAAACUGAUCUGCACGGGCCUGACGAAUCUCGAAUGGAAGAUAAUGAUCAAGAAAUGCCUCUUUGAACUCCUUCCAAGUAGCUGGGGGUGCAUCAAUACCCCUAGAUCGUUUCCAGUCCUCAUACCAAUAUAUAGCCUCCCCUUUAAAUCUAUACGCCGCUAACUCCACUGUCUCUCUACCCGUUACAUGCAUAACAUCCAAGGCCCUUUGAAUUUGAUCGUUGGACUCUACUGCCAUAGUAGCAACAACAUUAGGAGCGUACCUGGCCAGAGAAUUAAAUUUAAGACUAUAUUCCCUCACGCUCAUAUUCCCCUGAUGGAGGUUCAGGAACUGAUCUGCACGGGCCUCUCGGAUCUCUAAUGGCAAGUAAUGAUCAAGGAAGGCCAUUUUGAACUCCUCCCAAGUAGUUGGAGGUGUAUCUAUGCCUUGGGACUGCUUCCAUAGGUUUUCUGUUGCAACUUAUAACCUACCUGUUACAGCAGAUGAGCAAUCCUUUGAAAAUAAUAAAAAUAGAUCACUCAUCGGUUGUACCAAGUAGGUUUUCUGUUGCAACUUAUAACCUACCUGUUACAGCAGAUGAGCAAUCCUUUGAAAAUAAUAAAAAUAGAUCACUCAUCGGUUGUACCAAGUAGGUUUUCUGUUGCAACUUAUAACCUACCUGUUACAGCAGAUGAGCAAUCCUUUGAAAAUAAUAAAAAUAGAUCACUCAUCGGUUGUACCAAGUAGGUUUUCUGUUGCAACUUAUAACCUACCUGUUACAGCAGAUGAGCAAUCCUUUGAAAAUAAUAAAAAUAGAUCACUCAUCGGUUGUACCAAGUAGGUUUUCUGUUGCAACUUAUAACCUACCUGUUACAGCAGAUGAGCAAUCCUUUGAAAAUAAUAAAAAUAGAUCACUCAUCGGUUGUACCAAGUAGGUUUUCUGUUGCAACUUAUAACCUACCUGUUACAGCAGAUGAGCAAUCCUUUGAAAAUAAUAAAAAUAGAUCACUCAUCUGUUGCACCAUGUAGUUUAUCUGUUGCAACCUAUAACCAACCUGUUGCAGAAAAUAAGUAAUCCAUUAGAAAUAAUAAAAACAUAUCACUUAUCUACUAAAAUAGAUCACUCAUCUUUUGCAAAAUGAGUUAUCUGUUGGAUCAGUAUUGUCACGCCCCAAAUCCUAUUAAGGCGGACUGGCACCCGUUGCCGGUAAGGCUCGGGAGAACCAACCUGUAGCGAUACAUUACCUAUGAACAUUAUAAGUUACUUUCAUACUAAACAUGCCCUCAAAAGAUAAAUAGGACUAGCAAGCCAAAAGAUAUUAUAUGACUAGGCCGUUGGAGCCACAAUGUCUACGGUACGAUACAUGACCAUACUAUACUUUACGUAGUCUACAAAGCCUCUAGACAAGAAACGUUAUCUUAUAAGGGUCGGGACAGGCCCCGCCUCAUGAUAAGAUACUAUACAAUGCAAAAAGAUAUGAUAAGACUCAAAGCCCCGAAGCAACCUGGAGCUCAGUGACUGCGGUUGAUAUCCUGUACUCUUACUAGGGAGGUUUAUUAGCUUCUGUACCUGCAGCAUGGAAUGCAGGUCCCCCAAGAGGGACGUCAGUACGAAAUAAUGUACUGAAUAUGUAAGGCAACAUGUACUAUAUAUGAGAUAAAAACUCAAAUGAAACCAUGUACUGCUGUAGGGUAAAAGACCACCUUUAUGAAUAUUGUGGAGUCAUGUAUCUUAUAACAAUUAUGUUACUUUACUCUUAUUACUUGAAUAAUCUGUGCACAGCAUGUAAUACAAAUGACCAGCUGAUCAGUGGUAAUUCUAUAUCAGGAUCGACCCAUGCUAGGCUUUCCUUUCACCCCUGGGAUACCCCCUGUAAUACUGGGAUUGACCCAUGCUAGGUGAUUCUUUCACCCCUGGGAUACCACCCAACAGAAGCAACUGUAUACAUAUAUCUUCUUAUUACUUUUGAGAUGAAUCUUUGGUGGUCGUAACAUUUGAGCUAUAAGACUAUAAGCAUGACAAAUGACAAGUAUGUGUCCAUGUAACAUCAUAUCAUAAUGAAAAGAGUGGGUUGUACAAUUAGUGAAACAUGUAGGACAUAAACAACGUAUGAACUUUAUUUAGCUAAAAAGAAGACUCAUAUGUCAUGGUACCCAAUGUAUGUAUGCAGCAGUGACAAUGCUCGAAUCUGGACACACAAGUACAUGUUAAAGAGUGGAGUGGUUAUGUCAAAGUUUGUAAAGAUCUCUAUGUGCCAAUGAAGACUUUGGAUUCCAUGCCAAAUAAUAAGAGAUCGAAUAGCCUUACAUACCUCGACAUAUCAACUUGUUUUUACGUCGAAAUGACUUCUUUUCUUCCAACUAUUUAUCUACAAUAUCAUGUUUUAAAGCUAGUAUUAGCAGCUAAUCAAUGCAUCUGGACAGCCCAAUCUCACAAGACACAACACUUUGGCAACAAACGUAUAACCAUCAACUCAAUGGUGUUAUUCCGACUUUCUCAAUUCUAACUGUAUUCAACCAGCAUAGAUUAUCAUAUACAUGAUGUAUACAGCCUAUAUUAGUUCUAUAACAUGCUGGCAACAGUCCAUAACUACAACACAUAACCAUUUUACAAAACGCUCAACUAAGAAGCACAACAUCUCGUCGUCUCCCUACAUUUCGUCGUUAACAAUUCAUACUUGUCCCAACUUUGAACCAGAUGCUCCCAACAUAUAUAUACAUCAAAUAAACCUUAACAUAGUCACAAAAUAGCUCAAAACGUAGGGGAAACGUGAAACAACAUCCCCCUCAACAAAACAGUCCAAUACCAGUUUGGAAGCACAUAAGAUCAUAUAAGGAUACUUGUUUCCAAAGAACUAGCAAAACAGUCCAGCAACCUUGGCAACCAUAUACACACUAUAACAUGUUAAUAACCUCAACUUUACAUCAUAUUAAAGUGAAAAAUCAGGGUAAAAAUCGUUCCAAAGCCAAGAAAACCAAACAACAACUUUCAGGACACAAGCUGUCCAGAAAUUCCUGCACAGUGAACCAGCCAACUUAUCUUGUUUUCCAUGGAAAAUUCAUAUCAAGUAUAUGGUUAUUUUUACAUACCUUAACUCCCAAGGUGUAGGUCUAAUUCAAGAACUCAAAAAGUAGCCUUUGGUUGCCUUCCAAGGUGAAGAAAUACCAAGAGAAACUUAGAGAGAAAUUCUGAAAUUUUUUGGUCUUUUCUUUGGUUAACCUAGAGCUCGGUUUUGGUCCCUUUUUAAGGAGACUUUAGACCGACUUUCUCCUAAUAUUUGUAGCUGAUUAACUCAAGUUGGUCAAUGACUAAUUUUCCCCUUUCACUUGGGCCUUUUGGAUCUCUAAAUCAAUGGGCUUUAGUGGCCCAUUUCCUUACUCUUUCUUGCACUUUGUUUGGGCUCAAUUUUGUUAGUAGUGAAUGAAUGUGGUUGGGCCUAUUAUAUAAAAAUCUUGGGCUGAACAUCUUGGCCCAAUAUAAUGUUAAACCAUUGUCUUUAAUAGCCUCCCUAACUUGGGCUUCGUUUGUCACAAGACUUGGAAAGUUUCGGCGUUAAGCCUUGUCUUCGUUCCCCUUUCUUUUUACUAACGUCUAGACUUUAAGUGAGUUCACUUAUGAAUGAAUUCUUCUCCCUCAUGUAUAUAUAAUUUUGAAGCUAAGCACACAGGUGACUCACCUGCUAGCUCCCUAAGUUCCAUAAGCAUGUCAAUGUUUGUUUUUUUUUUCUUCCGUUUAAGGCCACAGUCUCUAAAUAGACUUCCAUAUAGUGCCCCAAUCUAACACUUGAACACUUGACAAAUUUUGGUAGUAAUUAAAUCAAGUCGUAUGUCAUUUUAUGUGAAUAUUACUAGUACAUGUAAAAUGUGGGGUGUUACAUACAUGCCAGUACUUAUCCCAUUGACCGUCCUUGGAUGCCUCAUUAUCUCAUAAUGUAGGGUCCGAAGAUACUUACUUUACCUCUAUGUAGCGUUAGGUGGAUUAGCACGUUCGUCGAGUAGCUGCGAAAUGGUAAGCCUCUAUCCUUCUAAAGGUCUUACAUUUCUAUAUUCUUUUAUUUUAACUCAGUACUUUAGGAUUCUUUUGGUUAUGGUCGGGGCAUGUCUUGACCAGUUUGGUACUCUGGUUUUAGAGGCUAUAUUGGGAAAAUGUGGGUUGGUUAUUGUUUUAACUCUUAGUUUCAUUGAGUCAUUCAUUCAUCUUCUUAUUUUUGUUUAGUUGGCUUCCAUAUUAUUUUAAUAAUAAUUAUUAUUAUUGUGCUCUUGAAGUUAGGUUAAUGGGGUGGUCUCCGGUCCUUUGUGGACUUGAGAUACCUGUCAGGGCCAGGCUCUGAUUUGGGUUGUGACAUCAUGUGUGAAGAAUAACUUUGUCGAGAUGUGCUUUGUUGUAGCUCUUCUUAUACAACCCCCCGUUAAUUGGGAUAUGCAUGAAGCAUUGUCUUCAUAUAGGAUGGUGGGUAUCUUGAAAUUACACUUUAGGCCAUAUCUUUAUUUGAUGAAAUGUAUCACAUAUCUCAACCACACACAUUCUCUACUUGCUUCAUUAAUAGCUAUUAUCUCAGCAUGAUUUGAAGAAGUAGCAACAUAGACUGCUUUAUAGAUCGUUAUGAUAUAGCAGUACCUUUAUAUGUAAAAACAUAGCCUAUUUGAGAUCAAGCUUUAUGUGGGUUAGAUAAAUAACCUGCAUCUACCUGACCAACAAGAUCUGCACUAUCUUUGUUUGUAUAAACAGACCUAUAUCAAUAGUCCCUUUUAAACAUUACAAAAUAUGCUUAACACAAUUUUAAUGUCUACGUGUAAGAGAAGAACUAUGUCUUGCUAUCAAAUUAAUAGAAAAUUCUACAUCAGAUCUUAUAGCAUUAGCAAGAUACAUAAGUGCAUCAAUAAUAAUGAGAUAUGGUACUUCGGGAACAAUAAUCUUUUCAUCCUCAUCUGGAGGUCAAAACAGGUCUUUACUCACCUCAAGUGAUCGAACAAUCAUUGGAGUACUUAAUGGAUGUGCUUUAUUCAUGUAAAAUCAUUUUAAAACCUUCUCAAUAUAGAAAGAUUGGUGGAUCAAGACCCCAUCUGCUAAAUGUUCAAUCUGCAGACCAAGACAAAGUUUUGUUUUUUCAAGAUCUUUUAUCUCAAAUUCUUUCUUUAGAGAUUCAAUUGUCUUUCGGACCUCUUCUGGAGUUCCAAUGAGAUUUAUGUCAUCAAUAUAAAUAACGACAUAACAAACUUUGAUGCUAUUUUCUUAAUAAAAAUACAAGGACAAAUGACAUCAUUUAUGUAACCUUCAUUUUUCAAGUACUCACUAAGGUGAUUAUACCACAUACGUCCAAAUUGUUUUGAACCGUAUAAUGAUCUUUGUAAUUUGAUUGAAUACAAGUCUCGAGACUUUGAACUAUAUGUUUUAGGCAUAUUUAGUCCUUCUGUGAUCCUCAUAUAAAUUUCAUUAUCAAGUGAGUUGUAAAGAUAAGCUGUAACCACAUCCAUUAGAUGUAUUUCAAGAUUUUCAUGUACGACUAGACCGAUGAGAUAUCGAAAUAUUAAUCGCAUCCAUAAUAGGUGAAUAUAUUUCUUCAUAGUUAACACCGGUUCUUUGAGAUAAUCCUUGUGAAACAAGGCAUGUCUUGAAUCUUACAAUUUUAUUUCUCUUAUUUCUAUUAUGUACGAUGAAUCAUUAUGGCCAACUGAUUUUACACCAUCUGGGGUUUGGAAUAUAGGUCCAAAAAUCAUACGUUUAACAAGUGAGUUCAAUUCUGAUUGAAUUUCCUUUUAUCAUUUUGGCCAAUCAUUUCUUCACCGACAUUCUUCGAUAGAUAGAGAUUCAAGGUCUUCAAUGUCUUGCGUAAUAUUUAGUGCAAAUAUAUGCAAAAGUAUUGUCCACCAUAAUUUUUGAUUGAUCUAAAUUUAUCUCAUCAUCGGUGGAACUCAUUGAAAAUUCUUCAUUCACUUGAGUCUCGAUUUCACUAAUUUCUUCAGAAGUAUCAGAAUUAAUCAGAUUUUUAGUCUCUUUAUGAGAUUCCCUUAUAAUGUCAUCUUUAUUAUUUUUCGUGCUUCUUUUUCUAGGAUAUUUAUUCUUUGAACCUAGUGGCCUACCAUGCUUCGGGAAUGUUUGAGAUUAAGAAACUAUGAUACUAGUAGAUGUUCCCUUUGGGGCAUCAAUUCGGAUAGGUACAUUCAUCGUAGGAAUAUGCGACUUAGUUAUCAUUUUCAAUUUAGUAAAUGCAUCUGGCAUUUGAUUUGCAAAUUUCUGUUAGUGAACGAUCUUCUGAACCUUAUGUUCACAUAUGGGGGUACGUGGGUCAAAAUGAGAUAGUGAUGAAACUUUUCAUGCAAUUUCUCUUUUGAGUUCUUAUUUCUCUCCCCCUAAUUACGAAAAAUUUAUUUCAUCAAAUCGACAAUUUGUAAAUCGAGCAAUAAAUAAAUCUUUUGUUGAUGGAUCAGGAUAACAAAUUAUGAAGGGUGAAUCAAAUUCAACAUAUAUUUCUAACCUUCUCUAGGGGCCAUCUUAGUGCAUUGUGGUAGUGCUACUGGCACAUAUAUAACAUAUUCAAAAAUUCAUAGAUGAGCAAUAUUUGGCCCAUGACCAAGGACCAAUUGGGACUGAGAGUAUUUAUUAUAAUGAGUCAGUCUAAGAUGAACAAGUGAUGUGACAUGCAAUAUAGCAUGGCCCAAAUGGUAGGUGCAUUUCAUUUUGAUAAAUAGUGAUUUUGCUAUUAAUUGUAGGCGGUUAAUAAAUGACUCAGCAAGUCCAUUUUGAUUAUGAAUAUGAGUGAUAGGAUGUUUAAUUCUUAUCCCAAGUGAUAAGAUGUUCAAUUCUUAUCCCACCCUAUACACAAUAAUCACAAAAACUUGGGAUAUAAAUUCUCUAGCAUUAUCAAGGUGAUUAGCCUUAAUGGGAUAAUCUGAAAAUUACGCCCUUAAUCAUAUUAUUUGCACUAAUAAUUUUGCAAACUCUGAGUUGCGAGACGAUAAGAGGUACACAUGAGAUCUCUUGAAGAUGCAUCUAUUAGGACCACAAAUUAUCUGAAUGACCCACUAGAUGGGUGAAUAGGUCCACAAAUAUACCCAUGUAUACGUUCUAGAAAAAUAGGAGAUUCGAUACCAACUUUUGGUAGCAACAACUUAGGUAUCAAUUUACUAUGGUAACAAGCAGCACCUGAAAAUUUAAUACUUACAAGAAUCUCCAAGUUCUUUAAUGGGUGCCCAUGUGAAUUUUCAAUGAUCGUCUCAUCAUUAUUGAGCCAGAAUGACCUAUUUGGUCAUGUCAAAGAACAAACAUUUUUAAAUUGGUAAGCUUCUGGUUUACAAUAGAGUGUACUUCAAAUGUACUAAUUUCUGCAUAAUAUAAGCCAGAAGAAAAAGUUGACAAUUUCCCCAACAUAUAUUUUUGACCUGAGACGUUCUUGGUAAUGCCAAGAUAUUCAAUAUUUAUUUUAUUAUUGUUUCAACGAGAUAUUUAUUUAAACAAAUAUAUUUAAAACUUAACAAGUUUUUUGGAGAUUUAGAAGAGAAUAGUGCAUCUUCUACUAUAAAUUUCAUCCCCUUAGGCAAAAAUAUAGUAGCUCUUUCAGAGCCUUCAAUUAAUUUUGAAUUACCAGAGAUUGUUACAACAUUUGCUUUUCUUCUAAGAAACUAGGAAACAUAUUUCUCAUCUAUAAAUAUGGUGUACAUUGUUCCACUAUCAAUUACACAGAUAUCCUCGCGAUUCAUCAUUGAUCCAAAUAAAAUUUGAGAAGUAUUCAUAAAUUCUUCAUGAAAAUGUAAACAAAGUAAACAUUAUAGUGUCACUAGCAUACACCAUAUUACACAAGCUUUAUUUAUUUACAAGACUAGAGAAGCACGAAUAACAGGAAUAUAAACUAAUACAACCAACAAAAAAGUAAAAUACUUAGAUCAUUACAGAUUUGUCACCGACAAGUAAUCUACACUUCCUUUUGAAAAUUCAGAAAAAUCUGCAACAUCUAAAUGCAUAGGCUCAACAUUACCUUGAAAGAUAAAAUUUACUUCUGCAUUAUUAUUUACCUUCUUGGGGGAUGACUGAUAGAUAUCAACUAGGUGCAUUGGUGUACGACAGAUAGCGUGAUCAAUAAUUUUUUCUCUACACCGAUAAUAUCUAUUUUCUAUAUUUUCUUGCACCGCUUCAGGCUUUUCACCCUUCUUCUUACACUAUUGGUGAUGAAGGUUAUUAUUUAGUGCAAAUGACCACCAUGAUUAAAAUUUCUUCAUCGAUCAUAGUCGCAAUCAUAGCCUUUUUCUUAUCUAGAUUGGUGAAAAUUUGAAGCAUUCAUUUCAAAAAAUGGAGUAGUACCUAGAGGUCGACUUUCAUAAUUUUUCAUCAAAAGAUCAUUAUAUUGUUCAGCAACAAGGAGAUGCAAAAUUAAUGUAGAAUACUUUUUAAAUCCCAUUUCUCAGUAUUGUUGUUGUAGGAGCAUACUCGAGGCAAGAAAGGUGGAGAAUGUUUUCUCUAGCAUAUCAUACUCUGUGUUAUUUUCUCCACAUAAAUUUAAUCAUGAUUUAAUUGGAUAUAUGACAGAAUUAUAUACAGUUAUAUCUUUAAAAUCUUGUAAUCUGAAAUGGGUCCAUAUAUAAUGUGCUUGUGGAAGAACGACCAUCUUCAGGUGGUCAUAUCUAUCUUUUAAAUUAUUCCACAGUACAAGUGGAUCCUUAACAAUGAGAUAUGUAAUUUUUAAGCCCCCAUCGAGGUGGUAAUAGAGAAAUAUCAUGACUUUGGCAUGGUCUUGAUUAGAUGCUUGAUUUUUAUCUUUGAUGGUGUCUUCCAGGCCCGUUGCAUUAAGUGCUCAAGUUAAGUAGGUUUUGCGUAAUAUAUCUAAGGCAAUAAAUUCAUUUUUAGAUAGAUUCGACAUUAUUUUAAGAAAAAUAAGUUCUUACCUCUGUUACCUGCAUUUAUUCCAGAUGGUAGAGAUCGUGUUGAUAACGUAAUAAAUAACUAAAGCUAAUACUUAAAGUAAAUAAAGUAAGAGAUUGAAGUGUAAUAACCAAAAAAAAGAAUCUAAUUAUAGUAUUUGAUUUUACUUCUUUUUUUUAUAUAUUUUACAAUGUACAUCAAAUGGCAAUUUAUAGCCAGUGGUAUUUGGGGACAAAGCUAACUGCUUACAAUACUUGAGGCCAAGUUGAAAAGUUUGGCCAUUAUACUUGCCACAUAGUUAUUAAUACCAUUCAUAGCAUAUUUCAAAAUAUUGUUAUUAUUAGCUAAAAUAAAAAGGCAUUUGCAUGAGUUUUGUUACUAUACUAGGGGGAAGGGGCAUGGUGCCUGUAAAGAAGAAUUAGUUGCAAUGCAUAAAUGCAUAAAAUAAACUAUUUACUUAUUUUUCAAGGAGCUAAGUUUUACAAGGGGUUUCUCCUGUUCCGAUAUCGAUCAAGACCAUUUGAUCUUCCUCCUAUAAGACUAUUUUUUAGCAUCACAAUCUGCAAACACACCCUACAAAGACCAGGUAUAUUAUAUCCUUAAGAUUGAUUCCCCUUGUUCUAUAGCUGCCACAAACAAUUCAGGAGACAACAGUGACAAAAUGUGGCAAACAAUUACCAAAUUUUCAGAAUCUUAAGCGAAAUUUGUACAAAACUCAUGAUAGCGAUUAGACAGAAAUCAAUUAAGUGAUGCAUUCUAUAAGAACAAAGGCUUAUUGACUCUAGUUUCUCAAAAUUAUGCCAACAUCAAACUUUGACAACAUUGAGUGAAUGGUACUCAAGAGUAUCAUUAAUUAAAACACUAUCUGGUUUGCCCAGAUCUUUUCCAGCAAGAAAGGUGCUCUUUAGAGACUACAUCUAACAAUAACCAAAGGUAUGCAUUACACACUAAACUACACAAUUUUAAUUUUAAACCAUAAACUCAUCGUAUCAUUGCGUAGAGACUAAACAUGUGAUUUCUGGUGUACCAAUUAUCAAUCAUAAUAGUAAUAUGACCAUCUGAAAAAUUGAAAAGGAUUGGAAUCUCAUCCCUAUUGUUAAUUGUAAUUCGCGCAAAAUCACCCAAUACCCUUUGAAAAUUGAGUGAAGGGAAAUAAAAGAGACUUUCAAUUUGUUCCUUGACCUAAAAUUGCUAAGUCCAGUUCCAUUUUGGAGGUGCGAGUUAAAUGAUGGCUUCAAUAGAUUCUACUGCAUUAAUUCCUAUAGAAGAGAAUGAUACCUUAUUUUACAUAGAUGAAGUCACCUCCAAAAGAUAUCAAGUCAUCGACAAAGUCUUUCAUAUGCGACAUAUUUUUCUCCUGAAUGAUGACUUCUUUUUUUGUGGCCUUCCUUUCUCAUGGAAACAUACCAACAUAUGGCCCUCAAAGGAGGAGGGUAUAGGGAGAAACAUUACAUGUGAACCAAAAAGGUUCUAUCAUCAAAUCAAUACACACGAAAUUUUGGAACCAAAUAGUCCUAAUCCAAUACCUCUGCUGCAAAUUUUGGCUUUGUCAUAUUGCUCGAUUUGUUGAUUAUUUUUCUAGGUGCAGAAGAAGAUGCCAACCACCUUUCAUCUUCCAUAUGGAUAUAAUAUUUUCAUAUCACAAAAAAGGUGCACAUAUAUACAAUAUCAUCUUGGUAGGGUGAAUGACUACAGUGCCCUUGCUAUAAAUUUUUUCACAUAAAGCACACAUGUCGAAAUCCCUGCUUUAAUAACAUUAUAAUUAUGAAAUAAAAAUAAAGAGAAAUAUAAUGGAUAAAUGGACGAUAAAUGUGUGUAUGUAUACAUACUAUAGAAACUUCUAAUUUAAGGCUCAGAUAUUAUAAGCAGGGCAAUAAGAAAAAACACAUCCGACAUGGUUGUAGACCAUACUAGUUGCUAAGUUUAGCUCACCGGAGUGUAAUCCUCAUGAGUCCAGACGAAUAUCAACCACUAAGAUCAAUUACAUGAUUUUUUUUCCUUUAGAAGUUGUGGUUUUCCUCAAAGCCCCAUCAAAGAUUUCAAUUAAACAAUAUAAGCAAAGGUUCAAGCGUUGAAAAUAGUCUCUGUUAUAAUAAAAUAGACCCAUGCGGUCAGGCUCUUUCUGAAACCUGUGCAUAGCAGGAGUUUUAUUGCAGAGGGCAUCCCUUAGGCAAACUAAAGUAUUUCACUCAAAGUUCAACUCACCUUAUUUUGUGGUAGAGAUUUUCUAGUUACUAUUUAAGAGCCCAUCUCUUUCACCCUUGAUAUUCAAUGAUUCGAUUAGAGCAUCAAACUGUUAAGAAGGAAAAGAUGAAACUCAUUACAAUAUAAGAGAAAACCAUAAGAGAAAGUGUGUUCUAAUAAUUAUACCAAGAGUAAUACCCCCACCAGAUGGAAUCUAAACUACCAAUAAAUAUUCUUCCAUCACCAGAAGAAAACCAAUUUAGUAAGUGCUCUAUUUUCUAUUCAAGAUAUUCUCUCUAUAACACAUUUUUGACAAAUAUAAGUAAAAGAAUAUUUAUGUUAAGUCACAAUUUGAACUGUGCAACCAGGAAAUCAUUUCAAUAGACAUCUAGGCAAGAAAAUUUACUAUGUACACGUUUCUGUUUAACAUGAAAUAACUUACUUGUGUAUCGAAAAAGAUAACCAGAAAGCUAGAUAGAGAGAGGAGACGACACUCACCAUUUGCUUCUUACUCUUAUUUUCAAAUAGCGAAAUAAAGAGACACAUACCUGCAGUUUCAAUUCGUAAAAUAGUUCAAAAUCCUAAAUUUUGCACUGCAUACAAAAAAGAAAUUCAAAAAUUUAAUCAGUACAAUGAGGUCGAAAAAAAAUCUCAAUAAUGGCUGAUGAAUAUUCGUUGACUAAAGGUGUAAGAAAUUUAUCUUUAUAAACUAAAAGCAACAAAUUUGAUAUUUCUGAUGCUUAAACAGAGCUAAUGGAGGAAAUCAGCUUUAAACAACUCUCGAAAUCCUCCUCACUUCACGAGCAUAUGCCCCAGUCUCAAUCAACGAUGCUAUCCCCUUCAAAUUUGAAUAAACAACAAUCACCCAAAAUACUAAAAAAAAAUCCUAAUAUUUUCCUCUUACUUCAUAAAAUUAAACUCCGAUCUUUCAAAUUGAUUCCAAUCCAAAAAAAAUCUAACUCAGUGUUGUUCUCUAAUGAAUUACUGGUGCAUUGAUCUUUCUGAUGCAGAGAAAAUUUUAGAUUUUACAAUACAGAUGGAGAAAGAGAAAGGAAUGAAUGAAUUGUUAUCUAAAAGGGAGAAAAAGAGAUACGUGGCUAUGUAUGUGCACGUUGAAAGACACGUUGCAAUAAAAAUUUUAUCAAAAGUCAAAAAUAUUCUUAACUAUACAAAUUUUGACAUGUAAGGUAUCAUAUCGAAAUCCUUCUUUAUAUAAUAUAUAAAUCAAAAGUCAAAAAUAUUCUUAGCUAUACAACUUUUGACGUGUAAGGUACCAUGUCGAAACCCUCCUUUAUAUAAUAUAGAAAUGUCUCAUUCCACUUUUAUUUUUAUAUUGCUGUAAGUGUUGAGACACUUUUCAAACUAUGAAGAUGAGUUGUGAGACAUUUGUUCUAAAUUUGCUCUUCCUAUUGAUUUUUCAUCGACUCACAUCCAUCAUAAAUAUCGACAAAUAUGUUUUUCACAAGAGGGAUGUGUAAUAAUUGUGUAAUCAUUACCCCAUUAUAAUUAUUUUUUUAUAAAUGUUUUAUUUUUGUAUUAUAUAUAUUUUGCUACUCCUGCUCUUCUUAUGAUGAAAGUUUGUUUAAUUUUGAAAAAUAAUUUUACUGUUAAAUAGUUUCUUAGAACAAUGCCAACAUAAUUUAAGUAUUAUGCGUAUUUGAUUGUUACUAAAUAAUACAUUUACUAAUAAAUUUUUUCGCAUUUCGUGUGCUUAUAUGAUUGAUUUUAUAGAGAAAAAGUUUGUUUAGUGUUAGCAGUCAACAAAGUCAUAAGUUACUACUUUGAAUCAAAAAUAUUAUAAACUUACGAUAAUUAAAAAUUUAUCUAAAAUAUAAAAUAGAAAAAUCAUAGAGAGAAUAUGCAAAAAAAAAUAAAAAUAAUGCAACGUCAUAUUUACGAUCUUAAUCAUUAAAAAUAGAAGGAAAACAAAUGAAAUCAAUGCACAAUCUUUUGAGCUUUGAUCGACAUUUACUCUCACAUGCUGAUCACCAUUCAAUACCAUAAUCUUAUUCUUCAAGGUAAACAAAAGUAUGAAUUUAAUAAGCACAUGAAAUCUAACUGCUUAAAAUGCUAAUGUGAUCAUUUCUACGAAAGUUUACAUUGUCUUUACUUAUUGAACUACAAUAUAAAAUAUCAAAUAAUGUUAUGUAUAUGACUAUUUAUCUUUUAGGAAUUACCAUAGAAAAGUAUAGUGAGACUGAUGAAAAUAAAGACCAUUAAAUUUUACAUAACAAAUAUGAAUAAAUGGCUAAUUGCCAUAUUUAUUAUUCUACAAUUAAAGAUAGAGAAGUAGGAGAAAAGAUCAAAUACAAAAACAAAUAAAUAAAUAAAAUUUUAGCCAAAUAUUAUAAUAAAGAUGAAAAACUCAAGAGACUCAAGACAUAAAUUAUAUAGAUUUUUGUUAUUUGAAGCUUAUAAUAAAGGAGUUGUAAUUGAAAAUUCAUGAAAAAUAUUUUUUUGUUAUUUAGACAUCUUUAAGAAAGUAUAACGCCAAAAAAGAGGAAAAAUAUAAUUAUAUCCAACAAAUUCAUAAGUUACAAUUUUGAAUCAAAAGAAAUUAUAAACUUACAAUGAUCAAAAAUACAUAUAAACUAAAUUAAAACAAAUCAUAGAGAGAAUGUAUGAAAAAAUAAACAACACAGCCUUAAUCAUUAAAAAAAUAUGAAAUUAAUUUAGAAUUUUUGAACUCCUAUCAACAUUCACUUCCACAAAUUGAUCAUCAUUCAAUAAUUUUCAUCUUAUUUUUUCGAGUCAAACUAACACAUGAUAUAGUAAGCACUGAACACAUAAUAACUUAAAAAGCUAAUGUGAUCAUUUCUACUAAGUCUUACAAUCUCUAUAUUUUUAAAAUACUACAAUAUAAAAUACAAAUUAAUAUCAUGGAUAUGAUUAUUAAUUAUUCUAUGGACUGUAUUAUUAAAAUAUUUUUGAGAGUAAUAAAAAUAAUGACCAUUAAAUUUUACAUUAAAGAAAUUUAAGGAAAUGAUUAUUUUAGUUUCUUAACAUUGCAUAAUUAACAUAAUUAAGAGACUUAAAACAAUUUUUUUAAUAUUUUUUAUUAUAACACAUAAAUAAGAAAAAAACUAGAGAAAAGUCUCACAAAAAGGAGAAAAAAUCGUAUUUCUUGACAAAAUAGAGGUGUUAUAUCACUUUUCUAUUUCUAACUUUAUUAUUACUGAUGAUAUUUACUAACUUUAUACAUUUCAUUUUGUUUACUUAACAUAAUUAAAUUUUUGAUAGUUUUGUUUUAUUUUAGAAAAAUAAACAAAGAAGUGGUAAUACAUAAAGGACAAAUAAAGUCUAUCAAAACUUCUAUUUCAUCCUACUUUAUAUACUAGUUUAGGAUACGUGCGUUGCACGUGUAUCAUACGUUUUCGAUUAGAAUUAGAAGGAACCUAAAUUGACAUAAACCUACUAUUUUUGUACUAUUUUAUGUGUUUUGUUUUAUUUUUCUUGAGAAAUUGUUAUCUAAAAUCAAUCAUAAAACACGUUUAAGACAAAAUUAGUGUUCUAAAUUGAUCAACAUUGCCUAUAAGUCGAUCCAACGACACGGUACUUUUAUUGAUGUUCACGUGAAUUGUGUUAAUGCAGUGAGUCCGAAUUGUUGAUGUACCCGUAGAAUAUGGUUGAACUUAAAUUAUAAGCAUGUUGUUGGAGUCAUACAUGGUAAAAAAAAACAUUGAACGAUAGUAACAAAAUGAAAUUAUAAAAAGAUUAACACUAUAUUUAACUGGUCUAUUAAUAAAAUCGUAUAAAAAUAUGACUUAACAUCUACCUUUAAAUUUAGCUUCUGCUAUAGACUAAACUAUUAAAGCCCAUGUUGUCAUGAAUAAGAGUCAAAAACGAAAGUACUCCCUCCCUUUCAAGUAUUUUUGGUCAUAAACGACAUUUUCUACACAAAAAAUGAGUGUUAUGUGUAGAUUAAUUUGGUUGAUGGACAUAUUCCUAAAAUUGAGUGUUAUGUGUAGACUAUUCUGGUUGUUCGAUAUAUAUCUAUAAUAUAUUAAAAGUGUGAAGGGCCUUAGAAAUAUCGUUUGAACUUUUUGUCUUUCAUUAAAAGUCUUUGCUUUAGACAAAAUUAUUGUUUCACUAUUUUUUCUAAUAUUUAAGAGUUGCAAAAUUAAUUAAAUAUAUUUAUGGUAAAACUUUUCUUAUUAGAAGUCAUCAGAAUUAAUGAUAACUAAUACUUUUUUCCAUUAGUUUAAAAAUUUUAAAUCAACUAAAUUUGAUUUUAAGAAAAUUUAGAAAGUCUAUAAAUCUCCAUCUCCAUCUACAAUAUAUUAAAAAGAAUCAAAAUAGCUAAAAAAAAGUCUGCUUCCUUUAUCAUAUAUAUGGGAUAGUAGAUCCAUUAACCACUUGAAACUUCUGGUGGUAAUAUAUACAUGCGCUUACAAUAAAACAUAUGUUUUGAACUUUUUACACUUCAUUAAAAACCUUUUUAAUAGAUAAACUCGUUUAAUUUUAAAUAAUCAAAAGUUACACGUGCGAGGCACAUGCGGCUAAACUAGUAUUCUUAAAAAUGAGUGUUAGUAUAUUUGACAUACUUUUGAUUUGAAUUCCAAGAUGAAAAGUAUUACUUCCUGCAUUCGCUUUUACAUGUCAUAUUCAUUAAGAAAAAUAAUUAAUAACAUAACUAUUUUACCAUAGUACCCCGAUUAAAUGAUGUUUACUUAAUAACAUAACUAUUUUAUCAUAGUACCCCUAUUAAAUAAUGUUUAUACUGUGUGUCUUGAAAUUAAUUUGAAGAAAAGACAAUUAAUGUAAAGGAUAAAAUAAGAAAAAUAAGUUGUUUUUUCUUGAUAUGUCCAAAAUGAUAAGUAAAAGCAGAAAUGUAAUUUGGAAAUUAGCGAUAAGUAAAAGCGAACAAAGGGAGUAGUACUUACUUUUUAACAAUUCAUGAGGAGGAUUACCUACAAAUUUUAGCUAAAUGUGAAAAAUAAAUAGUUCUUGUGUCCACAUUGAAUCUUUAAGAUUGUGUAUUUAUGUGUGUUGGUAGUUGAUGAGGUUUGGUGUAUGAGUUUUGUUGCAGAGAAGCCACACCAUUAGUAUUUUCAUUAUGUCAUUGCAUUAAUAAUGUAAUCAUUUUCUACAAAAUGUUUAGUAAGAUUUGAAAAAUCAACUACAUCCUUCAUUUUAAUUUAUCUGAUCUACUUCCUUGGUUAGUCUGUUUGAAAAAAACGAUUCUCUUUACUUUUUCACAAUCUUUUAAUUUCAACUUUUCACAUGACAUGUUUAAGAUCAUAAAAUUAAAGAGAAUUUUAGUCCAUUUAGCAUAUAUAUCUUUAAUUUAAGAUCAUAAAAAAAAAUUUAAAUUUUUUUUUAUUAAACUUUGUGCUAAAUCAAAAUAAACCAAACAAAUUGAAACAAAAGAAACAUUUUUUUAAGAAUCAAAAUGACCACAUUGGUCACAAGUUUAUUAAAAUCAAAAGCAUGUCUAUGUAGAGACCAAAUUUGUCCAAAACUAAGAAAGCAAGAAAGCUAAUCGUCUCUACCUCCCAAGGUAGGGGUAACAUCUCCCUUAUUUAUUUUCUUUAUAAUUUCUAGAUUAUAAUAUAAUAAUUUUUAAUGUUCCAUCUAUAAAAAGGAAAUAGAAAGAGAUAAGUACACUUUACCAUUCCCAAACUUCACUUGUUUGUGGAGUUACACGGAAUGUGUUAUUGUUAUUGAUUCUAGCUAAACUGACAGUCAUCAACAUUGAACGGGAGUUUUAUCCUUAUUAUCUUGCAACUGUUGAAUUAGAGAACUAUAUUGCAGAUGUAGAUCCACAAUAGGUGAUGAGGAUGCAGUGGAGUUUCCAACCGUGGGUAUUCCUUUAGAUGCAAAGCUGGGUUCUUGUUAUUUCCAUGGUGCUUUUUACGAUUUAAUGGUUCUUCAGAGUAUAGAUUUGAUCAAGAAGUUGUGUUAGAUCAUCUUUUAGAAGCUAAGAUAUAUUACUUUACGUAGAUAGUGUUUAACCUUGUAAAUUGAAGAUAUUAAUAAUUAUGCAUUAGGGACUUCAUGUUCACUGUGUUUGUAAUAAUUAUUUAUUUCAUAAAAAUAAAUUAGUUAAAGGGGAGCCUUAGAGUAACUGAUAAAGUUGUUGUCAUGUGACCAAGAGGUCACGAGAUUCAAGCCGUGAAAACAUGCUCUGGCGGGAAUGCAAAGUAAGGUUGCAUACAAUAGAUCUUUUAUGGUUGAACCCUUUCCCUGACCCUACGCAUAGCAGGAACUUUAGUACACCGAGCAGCCCUCUGUAAAGAACUAAAUUAGAUUAUGACUUCAUCCCUGAGUAUGUUUCCAAAUAUUAGGUUAUUGUUUAAUUUUGGUGUUCUUCUCUGCAGGUCCUUGUUGCACUUCAAGUAAAGAGAAUAUAAGACGAAUAAGAAGAACUAUUACUUUUUCGUCAACUUAUAUAUUGUCGUCUUUCGAGUAUCGCUUGUUGUCUUGUUAUAUUCUUUUGUUAUUCACUUUCCAUGGAAGACAUUUAUUAUUCAGAUAUGAUCGUACUGCUUUAACGUGUUAAUAGCCAACUCACUAAUCGAAUUCAUUGCAAGAUUAUCUUUAAAAAACGAAGUUAUAUGCGUGAAUCUGGUAUAUUAGUGGAUGAAGAAAGUUAUAAAUAACAAAAACAUUAAAUGAACUCAAAUUAGAUAAAUUAAGAAGAUAAGCUAAGUUAAAUUAAAUAACUCAAGCGGGAUAACAAUUAAUAGUCUUCAAAUUAACAAUAACAAAAAGGGGAGACUUUAUGAUAGAAAAAAAAAAGGGACAAAUAAAUAUUGCAGCAAAAGGGAGUGACAAAAUAUCACAACAAAGGGAAUUAAGGUGAAAAUCUCAAAAUUAUAAUGCUUUUUAUAAAAGUGAAGAAAUCAUAAAUUAAAAAGAACACUUGUUAAUAUUUAAGUAGGAUUUUUAUAUUUCAUACACUUUAGAAUAUUUUAUUUAUUUAUUUUUGGAAAAGUCACGUUUAAUACAGUACUACCUUUUCAUUUUUUCCUUUUUUUAAGAAGUCACCAAAAAAUAAAAUAAUGCCAAUAUUUUUUUAGAAAAAUUAAAUCAACCUUUUAUUUUUGGAAAAUCGACGUAAACAAAACAAAAAAAAUAAGAACCCUUUAUUGGGGUUGGGGGGUAGUCCGCACACAAGUAAACACCCAAUAAAAAUAUUACCAUAAAUUUAGGAAUUCAGCUAUAAUACAAAAACCUUCUCCAUUUAUUUUUUAAUAUAUUUAUUAUAAUUAUUAUUUUAAAAUUUUAGUACUUAUUAAAUUUUUCUUAUUUUAAUGCUGUUAUAUUUAUUUUUAAAUUUUUCAAAUCUUCUUAAAAUCUAAUUUAGUUGAUUUAAAAUUCCUAAACUAAUAAAAAAAUAUUAGCUGUCAUUAAUUCCGAUGACUUCUAAUAAGGAAAGGUUUUACCAUAAAUAUAAUUAAUUAAUUUUUAACUCUUAAAUAUUAGUUAAAAAGGGUAAAAAGACAAUUUUAUCUAAAACAAAGACUUUUAGUAAAGGGCAAAAAGUUCAAACAACAUUUCUAUGACCCUUCACAUUUUUAAUAUAUUAUAGAUAUAGAUAUAGAUAUAGAUAGAUAUAGACUAUAGAUUAUAGAUAUAGAUUAUAGAUUAUAGAUGAAACAAAUUAAUUUAGAAUUGUAACUUCGCUUUACAUUCUUUUUCUCCUUCCUUUUUCUUCUUUGAGUUUGUAUUAAUUUUCCUUUUUUUAUAUCAAUAAUUUUUCUCCCUACUAUCAUGCAAAAUCCCCCAAAUCAACGUUUUUCUAUGAUGAUCUUAUCAUUAUUCCUAUAAAUUUUUAUUGUUAUAUUAUUUAAAAACUCGAUGUAUUUCAAUUAAAAAAUUGGAGAGAACACAAUAAAAGUAAAAGGAAAAACAACACUUACACAAUCCAGGCUAAAAAGAUGUCAAAUUGGUGGUAGCUUCAUGAGGUAAGAGAGUACAUUUAUCCAAAUUUAUAUAAAAGAAAAUAUAUAUCAGAUUGAUUGGCUAAAGGGAAAAAUUUCUUGAAUGCUCUAGGCUUUGCUUUCUUUCUUCUUCUUCUUGCUUCACUCCAUGAUAUUCAUGAAAAUUUAAAUCCCUAACGAAAGACCUAUUUGCAGUGACGGACCCAAACUUUUGACUAAGUGGAUUCUGGCUAUUGCAUAAAAUAAUUUUAAAAAAAGCCUUACAAGGAAUUGAACACGUGACCUAGGUGUUGAGAAUUGAACCCAUAACCGCUGGGUUAGGCAGUCCUCUUGUGCCUAAUUGGUUCAAUAGAUAUAAUAUACCGAGUUCAAUAUCUGCUUAAACUGGCUGUUGCAAAAAAUAAUUAAAAAACUGCCUUACAAGGGAUCGAACACGCAACAUAGGUGUUAGGAAUUGAACCUACAACUGCUGGGCUGAGCGCUACUCUUGUGCCUAAUGGGUUCAAUAAAUAAUAUAUACCUUUUACAUUUGUAAAAACUGCUUAUAUAUACAUAUAUAUACAGUGUAAUUUUUCGACGAAGUGGGUUCAUAUGAAUCCACUUGAACCCAUGUGGGUUCGCCCCUAGUUCCAAUAGUUUCAGAAUAUCAAUUUAGGUUAGGUAGACCUUUGGUUCGAGCUUCGAUGCACCCGAGUUCAUUUCGACCGAUUGAUCAAAAAGUUAGAAAAUUGGAAAUAUGGGUGUAGGACCUAUAUUUUGUCAAAAUGAUCUCGAAUGGAAAAUUCGACUUUGCUAAUGCGUAUGGAAUAUCAAUUUUAAGUUGGUAGUAUGUUUGGUGUGAUUUUACGGCUUCUAAAUCUCAUUUCGAUCCUCGAUUUGAAAAAUUAUAAUUUCAAAUUUUGGGGGUCAACUUUGUGAAAAUAAUUUUUUUCGAAAUUCUGAUAUCGCCAUUGAGUCCGGAAUAUCGAAUUUAGUAUGUUUUCAUAGUUUGUUUGUGAAUAUCAGACUCCAAAAGAAUCUCGAGCACCCCACUAGAGUCCGAGUUGGACUCAAAAAUCCUGGUUUUUUCAGAUCUGAUGCAGUGUAUAAAACAACCCUUUUUCCCCUGUUUUUGCCCAUUUUACCCAUUCUUUCACCUAAAACUCUUGAGAGUUAAAACCCUAAAAUAGUGGUAGAGCUUAAAAAUGAAACUUGGAGCUUGGGUAGUUAGAUUAACAUCUAUUUCUUGUUCCUAUUACAGAUUUAAGGUGAGAUUUUAUUCCUUUCUACUCUAAUUCCUUGAUUAAUUUUUCAAAAUUUCAAAACUCUUAGGGCUUGAUUUUAAACCCCAUUUUCACUCCUUUUUCACUUAAAUAUUGUUUUAAUCUUAUAAUUAAUAGUUUUUCAUUAAUUUAACCUUCAAAACAACUUCAAUUCUUGAUUUUAAUAUGGAUUUCAAAGAUUUUACCCGGUAAUGCUCAAAAAUAAUUUUUCUUCAAUUUGAACCUCGUUUUUUACUUGGAUUUUCAACUGUAGAUUCCUAACAAUAUGGGAAAACAUUUUUGAAGUAAAGUUAUGAUUUUAUCCUUCUUUUUUGAAAACUUAUUUCGGGGUCCGUUUUGACCCGAACCAAUAGUAGUCAAUAUGGGUAUCGUUGGCUUUGGUUUGACACAUAAAUUAUAUAUUUCUUGGUUUCAGUUAAUUUCGAGAUCAUUCAUGAAAAGUAAGAUUAUGAAUUUGAAGUGUAGAGGAUCAGUUUUGGUAUUCGAGGUAGGUUAUGGCUUAACUCUUUUAAACUGGAUUGGGUAGUAAAUGAUGAUAUAAAAUAUAUGUUAAGGGUGGGAACUAAUUAUGAAAAAUGACUAUCUAUGUAUUGUUCUCAUGUGGGGGCCUAUAUGUGAUGAAAUUAUUGAAAUUGAGAUAUUAUGUGAUAUGUGUGAUCACGUGGGAUCCCAUAUGAUAUUGAUAGCCUUGAAUACAUGUGAAUAAUUAUAUUGUGUUGUUGAAAUGCCUAAUGUAGUACCAUUAUUGUAUUGUGAUAUAUUCAUACUUGUUGGCAUAUGAAACAUGUGGAAAUUCAUGGAUGAUGGAAUUAAUGAGUGAAUAUUAUCUUACGUGGUUGUGGAAAUGUAUUCUUGUUAUUGGUUGUGGAAAUACCUCAUGUGGUUAGUUUUGAAAAUACUCAUUAUGAUGGGUCGUGAACAUUGCGUUAUUAUCCUUAUGGCAUCAUACACAUAAUUUCACUCAUUUGUUUUAUAUUUUGUAUAUGCUAGUUGUUGUUAUUUGCCAUACUUUAUUUGUGUUUUAUGUGCUCUGAAAAUACUCAGAAUUUUGGAAAUACUGGAAACAUCAAAUUUUAUAACCCUUCUCAAGGGAUGUGUUGGGGAAGAUAUAUUGAUAUAUAGAUUGUAUAUGGAUUGACAAAUCCUCCAUGGAUCCCACAUCAGGAGGCAUACAAAGGUUGUGCGACGACCUCGCGCAUCAUCAUUAUCAUCAUCAUCUACAUUGCACUUAUUUUAUUGUGUUUAUGUUGUGCUUGUAUUGUCAUAUUGACUUAUUAUAUAUCUAUUUGUUUUAUAUCUUGAUUUGUUAAUGUCUAAUUGUUCUAUUUUUUUAUUUAUACUUGAUGAUCUUGAUUAUACAUGUUCCUCUUUUGUUGUACUUAUAUGUGAUAUUGUGUCUAAUUGUAUCCAUAUCUGGUGUGUUAUUGUAUUAUGUAAGGAUAUUAUAGAACUGUUAGUGCAAGCGUGUGAGCUACCAUUGUGGGAUAUUUUUUUAUUGCACGUGAUGUUCCCUUAGUGUAUAUUUUGUAUGCUUUAUUUACUACUUUGCUUGGUCGGCCUAUGAUACCUAUUGGGUACAAAUAGACCGUACUCACACCUAUUACUCCCUUUUGUUGCAGGUCCUAGAUAGAGUAUGCCUCAGAUUGGUUGAUUUCGAGUGCCUUCAGAUUUAUCAAGGUAGUGGUUGGACAUUCAUGCAUCUGAAGUUCACCUUUAUCUUUCUAUAGUAGUUAUAUCUUUAUUUGUACUCAGAGAUAAGUGUUGACCUUGUGUGGACAUUUCUGAUAUAUUUGACCCAUGGUUUGUAUUAGUAGUUCUUACACUAUUGACACCUGAUUUUGGGAAUGUAUGGUAUUUGGAUGUUCUUUCCGCAUUGUAAUACUUACUUUUAUAGUUCAGUUUCAUUCUAGAAUCCUUACCUUGGGGUAUUUUUGUCUUUUCUUCUUUUUAUAUCAGUUUGGGUGAUAGACUUACUUAUCAAGGUACGCCGCGAUAAGUGCCAUCAUGACCCUCGUUUUUAGGCUGCGACAGAAGUACUCUUGAACUAGAUGGACAUAAGUUGCGGCCCCCACAACACAUAGUAUAUACUUGAUUUUAAGCAACCACCGCGAUACUAUAAAGUGCUUUUAUGAUCAUGCACAGAAAUCUUGGGUCUCAUAAGUACUCUAGAAAGACGACCCAAGUCUUUCAUAAAAUAUGAUCAACCCUUUACACUCACGUAGAUGAUCCAUCAAGUCUAUCUCAUAGACCACCUUAAGGCUAUGGAUCAUUAAGAGCAGAAUUAAGCUCAACCUUAUAAUAAACUACCUCAGGCCAUAGGGAUAGAAAUGUGGUGUUUAUUGAAGGCUUUUAUAGCUUCGCUUGACUAUAAAUAAGUAUCCAUCAUACUACCUCAAUUCAUGGGCUUUAGUACCAUCCCCAUCGAUGAUUCAAGGACUAUUUUUCUUGUCAAAUCCUUUUUCAUAGGAUCCUUCAAAUUUCUUUCGGACCUUACGUAUUCCAAGAACGUAAUAUCAUGUUUCAAUAAUUGUUUAACUGCACUUUGUCUGGUGUGAAUAUGUCUUCUUAUUCAUUGUAUACACUAUUUUUAGCUUUCUCAAUUGUCGUCUAUGAGUCACAAUGUAAAGAGACUAGUGAAGUUUGUCUUCCCCAUAAAGGCAUAUCUAUAAAAAGGUUUCUUAGUCAUUUAGUUUCUUGCGACGCCUACUCGAGAGCAAUGGUAGAACAUGAUAUACAAGUCUACUUUGAAGACUUCUAUGAAAUAACACUUGCACCCAAAGUAAAUAUAUAGUCAUUGGUGGAGCUAACUUCACCAUUGUCAGUUACCCAGUUUGCAUCACAAAAAUCUUCUAAAAUAAUAGAAAUUUAUUUAAAUGCAAAUACCAAUCCAUAGUACCUCUCAGAUACCUUAAUAAGCGAUAAAAAGAAUCUCAAUGUUUAUUAUUGAAUUAUGAGUAUAUCUACUUAAUCUGCUAACAACAUAAGCUAUAUCAGAUCGGCUAAAGUUCAUAAGAAACAUUACACUUUUAAUUAUUUUAGCAUAUCCAAUUUGAGAAAUUCUUGAAUCUUUAUUCCUUUUUAAGUGUAUGCUAGAAUCGUAAGAAGUUCUCACUGAAACUAAAACAAUCAAACAUUUAUAAUAUGUUUUCAAUAUAACGAGACUGAUAUAAAGAGAAACUAUUAACAAUUCUAUUGAUUUUAAUUCCUAAAAUCAUAUUAGCUUCUCUAAGAUCUUUCAUUUCAAAUUUAGAAAAUAAAAAUUUCUUAGUCUCAUUUACAAUAUUCACAUUAGGGUCAAAGAUUAACAUUUCAUCCACAUACAAAUAUAUAAUCACUCAAUCUUAUUUGGUCAUUUUAGAAUAAACACAUGUAUCAGAUGAAUUAACAACAAAGCCAUUAUCCAUUUAUGUAAAAUCAAACUUUUCAUACCACUGUUUAUGUGCCUGCUUAAGUCCAUAUAAGAAUUUUCUCAAUUUGCAUACUUUAUUGUCGUACCCUAGAACCAUAAAACCCUUAAGUUAAGUCAUAUAGAUCUCUUCAUCUAAAUUACUAUUUAAAAAUGUAGUUUUGAUAUCCAUUUGGGGUACUACUAAACUAUGAAUAAUGGCUAGAUAAAUAAGAGUCCCAAUGGUCGCUAUUUUAGUCACAGGAAAAUAAAUAUCAAAAUAAUCAACACUUUUUUUGACUAAAACCUCCAAUCACAAGUCUAGCAUUAUAUUUGUCAAUUGUGCCGUCAGACCUCAAUUUCUUCUUAAAUAUCCACUUGCUACUUAUGAUUUUACAACCUUUAGACAAAUAAUACAAGUCCCAAGUGUGAUUAGAGAUUAUAUAGUCUAAUUUACUUUUAAUAGCCUCUUUUCAAAAUAUUGUAUCUAUUGAACAUAUUGCUUCAUCGUAAGUAGGGUCUUCUUCUAUUAGGUAAAUAGACAGUAAUUCAUCAUUUGAAGUAUCGAUAGCAAAAUCCUCAGUUAAGAAGAUAGUGAUAAAAUCGAGAUCAAAACUAGUCUUAAUUUUACGUUUUUUACUCAUUCUAAGUUAAUUUUCAUGCUCGUUAGAAUAACAUUAGAUGCAGGCAUAAAAUGAGAGUUAACAAACAUUGAUAUAGAAGUAUUAUUUUUCACAUCACUAGACACAUCAUUUUUCAAAGAAAAAAUAUGCUCAAAAAAUUUUGCAUCUCUAGAUUCACAAAUAUACUAAUAAUUUAAUGACAUAAACCUAUAUGCAAUACUAUUUUGAGUAUAAUUGAUAAAGACAGUUUCAAAAGUCUUAGAACCUAUAUUUACCCUUUUAAAAUCAGGUAGAUCAAUCUUAUCCAAAUACUUACACACUUUCAAAAAUUUUGAGUUAGGGGCAAACCCUUUCCACAACUCAUAUGAGGUCUUGUCUAACUUUUUUAUGGGGGACUCUAUUAAGAUAUAGCAUGCGUAUAAGGCAAAUUUCCCCCACAUAUAGUCAGGUGGCCCCGAGAUUAAAAGCAUAAAAUUCAUCAUUUUCUUAAGGAUUCUAUUCUUUCAUUCGGCCACACUAUUUUGUUGAGAAGUAUAGAAAGCACCGAACUCAUAGAUAAUACUAUUUUUCUCAUCAAAUCUUCUAGAAUUUUAGUAUUAUGUUCACUGAUCUUGUCAGACCCAAAUCUCUUGAUUUUCAUGUCUAAUUGAUUUUCUACUUCUGCUUUAAAUUUUAAAAAUAUUCUUUCAAUCUCAUCUUUAGACUUAAGGAGAUAUACCUUAGUGUACCUAGAAAAAUCAUCAACAAAAAUAAUAUAAUACUUAUUUUCUUUAAAAAAAAAAGUAAUACUUCUUUCUACCUUUGCUAACAAUGUUCUUGAAAUCUGCUAAAUCUAAAUAUAGUAGUUCAAGCAAUUCGGUCUUCCUACUAGUAGCGUAUUUAAAAUAUUUUUUGGCAUGCUUUACUUCUACACACACAUGAUAUUUAGAAAUAUCAUAAAUAUUUACUGCAGGAAUUAAUGUCAUUUUUCUAAUUCUUUUAAUAGAAGCAAUAUUAGCAUGACCUAGUCUACGAUGUGAUAAAUUGAUAGACUCGGCAAUAUAACCAGAAUUAGAAAUACUUAAAUUAUUGGUGUUCUAUAGUGUUUAGUAUAAACAAAACCCCACUAAGGUAUCCCUUUAUAACAAAGUCUCCUUCACGAGAAAUAAUUAUUUUAUCAACUUCAAAAUAAGUUUAAAUCCUACUUUAUUGAGAAGUGCUCCAGAAACUAAGUUUUUAUGGAGGGAGGAAACAUAUAGAAUAUUGAUCAAGACUAAUGUUUUACCAGAAGUUAAUUUAAGAAAAAAAUGUAUUUACCCAUAACUCCAGCGGUAGUGGAGUUAUCUAUGUAGGCACACUCGCCAUUAAUGAACUCAACAAAAUCAUGGAAUAACUCUUUAUUGAUGCAGAAAUACCUUGAAACACCUAUGUUCAAUACUCAGUCAAUUUUAUUAGCCACCAGAUUUGCCUUGAUGACUACUGCAACGAUCACUUCAUCACCGUUAGCAAGAUGAACUUGGACAUCAUUUAAUCCUCCCUAUUUUGAGUUUUAUAAAAUAUCCCAUAUUUAUUUAGCAGAUUUGUAAGUAACAAAUAAAUCAGACUAAGUAUUAGUCAUAUGACUCAAUAAAUAUUCUUUAGCAUUCUUGCUAUCUUUUUAAACUUUCUUUACAGGUUCAUCAACCACCAUAAUAGUGUUAGAAUUAUUAGUAAUGUUAGAACCAUCAGUAGGUGGUUCAUUAAACAAAACAUAAUCAACUUCUAAUUGUUCUAAGAAAAUCAAAAGUUUUUGUGACCAACGUUUAAAAUUAUUUUCAUACAAUGACUCAAGUUUUGAUAAAUUAGGAAAAGUUCUAUAAAAAAAUAACCUCCUUAUCAAUAUUGUAUAUAACAAAAUUGCUUUCAAACUGUUGAAAAAAAUACUACAACAUUGAUAUGAAACUAAAAUUAAUGAUAGCAAGAGAAUAGUCACAAAUACUGCAUAUUUUCUAUGUUUUCUGCAUAUUUAGCUUACAAAUCAUGCUUUUUAAAUAGGUAUAUCAUUUAUGUUUCAUCCAUCAAAAGAGUUAAAGUAGACAAACAUAGUUAAUGUAUAAUGUUACUCUUGAAUUUAAUGACAAAGUCAUAAAAAAAAAUAACUUUCAAGGCUUUUGAAUGUCUCUUCAUUCAAAAAGUUACAUUUAUCAGAAAUCAUCAUUUGAAUGAAUGUAUAAUAUUUAUGAAGUACUAACUCUCUCAUCUUACAAACUCUUAUAAAUUAGAAAUGUUUACACAAAUUUAUUAUAGAGAAUUACAAGAUGUUUUUAUUCUUUGCAUUAAUUAAGAAGAAAUUAUCCUUCAAUGUACUAUACAAGAUUUUGAUAGGACAUUUGUUUAUAUAAUAUUCUAAAUUGAUGGAAGUUCUACUCAAAUUCUAUAAUUAAUUAAUGGUGCAAUAUAAAGUUAAGUCUUAAAGAAUUUGGAGGAAUUAAUUCAUAAUGGGCAUAAAUUAUAACGAAGGAAAUAAUCAAUGUUAUGGGUAUGAAGCUCUAUGUAAAUGCUAAUGGCUCCAUUAUAUUCAUUAUUACACUUACGUUUAUUAAUUCUUUACGAAGGAGACAAUUGUCGUUUUUUAACAUGAAAUUGAGAAGAAAAUAUCAAAAAAGGAGAAAAAUAAAAAUACAAAUAGAAUCCAUUGAAAGGUGCCACGUCAACAAAUCUAUAUUCUGCUUUAUUAUUAUAUAUUGAUUGUUGUAUCUUUCUCUUUGUGUUCCAACAAUCUAAGAAGUUGCGACAAACAGUACCUUUUUGUAUAACUUUUGCUAGUAUUGUUGUUGAUGUUGUCCUUGAUUGUCCAUAUUUCAGUCAUCUUGCAGAUGCUUAUAGUAUUUCAAAAUACAUAUAUGUAAAUAGACACAAUUAUAAAUUUAAAGAAACACUAAAAUCUUCAUUAAAAGUACACCUUGAUGCACUAAAUAUUUGUGAGAAAUGAUAAUCCUGCUAAGUCAAAAAUAAUUUUAAUUUAAGCAGGAGCUAUAAUUAUUUUGGUAAUUUUUCAAGUAAAUGUUGAGUUCAAUGUGAAAAAAUGAAUAAUAAAUUCUCAUGCUGCGAGACAUAUUUGCAUAAAUAAAAAUAAUUUUGUGUCUUACACCUAAAUUAAGGAGGAAGAAAAAAUUAUUUAUCUUAGUGACUCAAAAACAACUUUAAAGUUUGAAAGAAAAUACAUAGUGCUAAUAUCACUAAUUUGAUUUUAUAGGACUAUGAAAAAAAGUUAUAGUGAAACUUACUUUGAAGAUGAUGAGUUUUUGUUGAAGAAACAUAAUGCUAUGACAAAGCAAAAUGUUUUGUAAUCAUAACCUAUUUGUGCUAAUAUUUAUGAUGUUGUCAGUAAAGAUGCAUCUACUUUUAUUUAUAUGAUUGUUUAUUUUUUGAUAAUAUGCGAGAUUAAGACAUGUUGAUGUCUCAUACAUAAAAAUAUGCAAUCAUAUUUUAGUUUGAUGUAUGAUUUAGAUUCAAAUAAUACUGACUAAUGUGAAAUACAUGGUCAGGCUAAAAUUACUAAAAGGUAACAUUUUCAAUAAAUAGUCAAAAUGAAUUACUAUCAUGUCUUAGUUUUGAUAUAUAGUUUAGAUUUAAAUAAUAUUGAUUAAUGUGAACUAUCUAUUGAAGCUAAAAAUACUAAAAAGUUAUAUUUUCAGUAAAUAGUUAAAUGAAUUACUGUCUUCAAUUUAGGCGAAUUUAAGCAAUUUGAAAUAGAGAAUGUCUAAAGAUGUAAAAGAUGUUAUGUGAUUUUUAUUGAGUUUUUAAAAGAAAAUUAGGGGUAGAAGAAAGGAAAGAAGAAAUAGGGAGAAUGAAUUACAAUAUGAGAAAUAAAACCCUCAUCAACAAGAUGAAAAUUCAGGUAUCCAACUAACAUUAUCAAGAUUUUUCAACUUUUAUUGACAAUCUUUCUAAUUUUACCAAAUUGUAUUUACUUAAAAAUAAAUAUGAUUCUUACGAUAUUUUUAUUUUUUAUAAAGCUAAGAUUGAAUAUUAAUUUACUAGAAAGUUCAAGAGGAGCAGACCUUAUAGAUAAGGAGAUAUUUAUAUUUAAAUAUUUUUUUAUGAAAAAGAUGAAAUUAUACUACUUUACUCACUUAAGUCUUAUGGAGUUGUUGAAAGAAAAAAUAAGACAUUAAAGAAAAUAAUGAAUUCAUGUCAAUAGUCAUAACACAUAUGAUAAUUUGUGGGGUGAAAUUAACAUGCAUAUAUGUCUCUUAAAAAAUAAGAUUCAUCAUAAAAUCUGACAAAACCUCUUAUGCAUUAUAAAAAAUUAUAAAUCCAACUUGAAAUAUCUGAAAGUAUAAAAAUAUCUUGUUAAAAUUCUUUUACCCAUAAAAGAGAAGAUAAGAUCUAAAAAUGUUGUUUGCAUACUUGUGUUGAAUAUCGAUUUCUUGUUUUGAAAAUUAACAUAUUUGAACGCAACACUUUAAUUGAGACAAAUAUAUUGAAUUCUUUAAAUAUGUUUUCUCAGUAUGUGAUAAAAAUUUACAAGCACCAGUUGAUAAGAAUAAUGAGAUUAUCUUUAAUAAGGAAUUAAAAAGAGCAAACGACUUACAAUUUUUUUCUUGUGAAGAUGAUUUUCAAACUUCUCAUAGUGAUAAUGAAUCAUCAAAAUUGUGACAUCAUAUCUUCUUCUGAUGUUUUUUUAAGGCAGAAUACAUCGUUAGGCCUCUCAACUUGACACCAUCUUUCACUUUGGCACCUCAAAUGAACAUUGUUCACUUUAGACACCUAAAAUAAGGUCCAACUGUGUUAUUUUGACACUUUUUACUGACUUGGCGACUUGUCUGAUUUUCACCUCAACUAAGCGCGUGAAGAGCCUAAAAAUAAAUUAAAAAAAUUAUUUUUUAUUCUUUUUAUUUCCUUCUUCUUUCUUUCUUCUUUUUCUCUUUCUUCUCUAUUUAAGAUUCUAUCAUUAACAAAUUAUCCACCAUUGUUAAAUUGUUCAAUAAAAAAAUAAGAUCACUAACAUUCUCUUAAAACACGUAAUACUUUCUUUUGCGUAAAAUCAGAAUCAAAAAUAAAUUUUAAGUUCUUAAAAAAAUCAUCAAAAAAAAAAUCCUAUGAAACUCCAUUUUUCUUUCAAGAUUUUAUACCAAUAUGUUACUAUAUUAAUGCAGUUAAAAAUUUCAUUUGUUAAUUAAAACUAGACAAAAACAAAUUAAAAGAAAAGAAAAGAGGUGCAUAAUGAGAAGAAAUUAAAACUGAAUUUCAAGAAAUUUCUGACAAACACUUUAUUUUUUUGACAACAAUCAUACAAUUAAUAAUCCAUUUCCUUUGCAAAUUUCUCUUCCUCAAAGACUUGCAGAAAUACAUUUAGGGAAGGAAAUCCAGAUCAAUUCCAAGUUGCUCUGUACUCAAAGGCAAGUCAUAAGGACAACAAGACAAAACAAAAGAUAACUUUGACAAAAUUAUAUAGACUAUCAGUAAUGUUUAACUUCAGAAUUACACAAUCCAAGACACAAUGGUGAAGAUUUCUAAAAGUAGUAUGAAUGCGGUUUUUUUUUCUUAAAAUGAAUAUGAAACACUAAAUUUAAUCCUAGAGAAAAAAAAAUAUACAACAAUGAAAUAUUUUAAGUGGCUUUAGUCAAAAUGCACUAAUGUUCGGUGUUGCAGAUCGCGAUUCGGGAGCGGUUUUGGUGGGUUGGAGAAGACAAUUUGGAAGGUGGGUGAGUGGGGGGAGGGGGAGGGUGGAGAAAACAAUUUGAGGGUAGGGGUGGCAGCAGACGUUUUGAGGGUGGGGUUUGUUGGGAAGAUGAUAUAGCGUGGGGGUUGUUGGGGAAGAUGAUAUGGGGAUGGGGUGGGGUUAUUAAUAUUUUUUUAAUUCAAAUUAAUUAUAUAUAAUUUUUAUAAAAAUGACAAAUGUUCUUUUAUAACUGGUCGCUUUUCAUGUCAUAACGCUUGUAAUACACACAUAAUAUAUAUUUUGUUGGCUCAGCAAAUAGUAUCAAAAUGACAUACUUUAUAGCUAUUUGAGGAGUCAAAAAUGAACAAUAUCCAUUUGAGGUGUCGAAGUGAAAGAUGACAUCAACUUGAGAGGUAUGACGAUGUAUUUUUCCUUUUUUAAAUAGGAUUGAGAAGAAAAAUGAGAAGGAGAUUACUAUAUGAAUAAUUGAACCCUCAUCAAUAAGGUAGAAGUUCAGAUAACCAAUCAAUUGAACUACUAAUCUUCUUCUAAUAUUAAAUGUUGGAAAGAGAGAACAAAAGUAGCGAUUAAUUUUAUCUUGAAAAUAAAAUAUGAAUUUUGACUGAUUUGCCUCUUAGUGAAAAAUUUGAUUGUAAAUGAAUUUGGGAAAGAAAAUUUAAUCCCGAUAGAUGUAUAGAUAAACAUAAAAUCUAUUUAGUAGCAAAAUAUUUAUUCAGAAAUAAAAUAUUGAUUAUUUUUACGUAUUUGCACUGGUGACUAAAAUUUAUGCUAUUCAAGUUAUAAUUUUCUUCGUCUCUAUUCAUAAGUUUUAUAUUCAUCAAAUAAAAACAAUAAUCUUUUAAAUGGUGAUUUAGAUGAAGUUUUUUAUAUGAUUCAAUAUGAGGGAUAUAUUAUUAAAUCAACUUUUAAUUAAAAGGUGGCGUGACAAAUUUAAUAAGCCUUAAUGAGAGUUCUGAGUUAGACAAAUUCGAAACUCAAAUUUUUAAAUUUUGACCUCCCACUAACAAAAAACAUUUCGAGUGAAUAGUACACCAAAAGAUUCUAAACAUUGAGGCGAACUUAUAUCUAAAAUUUGAGAUUGUUGUUGUAAUUAUAAAUAUUAUAUAAACAAUGUGUGUGUAUGUGUAUAUAUACACACACAUCUCUCGUAUAUAGUUAUACAUUAUAUAUACAUAAUCAUACACUAUUGAUAUAAUAGUGAUACAUUAUGUGUACAUGUGUAUUUUUAUUGAAGUUUUUUUGUCAUAUGCACAGCUACGUAAGAAGCCAAUAACUUUCAGACAGAUCAAUAAUCCAUCCAUUUAUUAACUCAAUCCAUCUUAACCUACCUGAGUUUAGUUCGACUCGCCCAUUUAUCACCUCUGUUAAUAUUACCUUUUGAGAGUAGAUCAAGGAGAUUUCGUCCCUUCACCUAUAUUUUAUCUGUUCAACCCUUUCACCUUUUUACUUUUGCAAGGAAUACUUUUCAUGUUUUUUUUUUUUUUUUUUUUUUUUUUUUUUUUUUUUUUUCUAAUUAGUGGAGUUCAGGAAAUUUCUUGCGCAAAAGUAGUAUUUCAAAUACAAAGACCAUUUGACUUAUUACAUAUUAAAACGACUGAAUACUACUGUGAUUCUUUUAUUUCUAAGACCGAAAAACCUGAACAUUCUAGCUAGUUUAGACUAAUUUCCUGCUGCAAUACGCUGUAUAAGUGUAUAUCUAAGCUGUUGUGUAAUAGGCUGAAAAAGAUUCUGACUUAGCUUAAUUAAUCCUACUCAAGCUGCUCUUUUUCAAGGAAGAUCACUUAUUCAAAUUGUUCUGAUUAGUCAUUACCUUAUGAUACAUUAUAAUAGGAAGACAACUCCAAGAUGUUUGAUGGAAAUUGCCCUCAGGAAGGCCUAUGACAUAGUACAAUGGGACUUUAUUGGUGAAAUACUGCAGGGGUAUGGCUUCCCACGUAAGUUUGUUCAGCUAGUCAUGGUUUGUGUCACUACAACCACUUAUAUAAUCAAAGUGAAUGGUGAAGGAUGUGGAUGUUUUGCAGGAAGAAGAGGGUUGAGGUAAGGAGACCUCAUUUACCUUUGGACUGGUUAUGGAGUACUUGCAAAAAGCGGCAACUAACACACCUUACCUUUGCAGAUGAUCUGACGAUCUUCUGCAGAAGGCAUGAAGCUUCAGUUAGCAGGAUCAUGGAAGCUUUAAAGCACUUUUCUGCCACUACUGGUUUAGCAGCAAAUCAUGACAAAUCCAAUGUGUUUUUAGCUGGAGUUAAGAGUGUGGUUCAACAGAGAAUAUUGUCUAUCACUAGGUUUCAAAUAGGGAAACUACCUAUUAGAUACCCUGGGUUGUCCCUUUCUCACAAGAAAUAGACCAAGACUGACUAUCAUUAAUUAACAGGAUUACUGAUAAGUUAAAAGCUACUUCAAAUAGACAUUUAUCUUAUGCUGGCAGGCUACAAAUUGUGAACUCGGUCUUAUUUGGUUUGUAAGAUUUUUGGAGUUUAGUAUUGAUUCUUCCUCAGAGUGUGGUCAAGAUAGUGGAGGCUAAAAAGUUUCUUUAGUCAAGUGGAACACAAUAUGCUGCUCAGGGUGGGCUAAACAUCAAAUGUUGUAAAGUUUGGAACAUUGCAGCAGUAGGAAAACAGAUUUGGCGGUUGCACAAAAAGAAGGAAGCAUUAUGGGUGCAAUGAUUCAGUAGCAUCUAUAUGAAAGAGGGAGGUAAUUUUUAUACUCAUGUACCCUCUCAGUACUGUAGCUGAUACUGGAAACAAUUAAACGAGGUAAAGCUUGGUAUACAAACAUGGUACAAUUAGGAUAGAUACAUCCUUACUGAAUCUGGAACGUAUUCCAUCUCAAAAAGUUAUGUUGAUCUUGUGGGAGUGAGGAGUCUUUGUAGGGGCUCAAAAAUGAUCUGGAGCAAGGUAUUACUUCCUAAAAGUAAAUUUAUUUUAUGGCUAGCGUGCAAGGUAAGUUGCUUACUAAAGAGAAUGUAGAGACUUGGUAUCGGCAUAGAUAGCAGUGUCUGUGUCCUCUCCGAGCAGCAAUAGGUGGAGGAUGCCACACAUUUAUUUUGUGCAUGUGAGAUAGCAAGUGCAUUAUGGCAUAGACUAACAAGUUGGCUGGGAGUAACCUUGCAUAAUCGGGGUGUGUAACAAACCAUACAAUUGAUUAGAAAGAAGAGAUGGAAGAAGUUUAAGGAAGAAAUUAUUGUAGCAGGUUUUGGAGCGGUGGUACAUGGUCUUUGGUUAGUCAGGAAUGGGAAAAUCUCCAGGAACCAUAAUGUUAAUAUAGAUUUUAUAUACAACAAAUACAGUUUGUUGUGAAGGAGAGAGUCAUAAUGCAUAAAGAGUCCAAGUUUACUAAAAGAUGUAUGGGUUUUGUGGAUGUAGGUUGUGCUUAGUGUCCCUGAGGCUUGAUCAGUUCGAUCCUUGACUAGGGAUUGGCUGAUUUUUUGCUCUUCAGGUGUACUCAAUUUGCAUGGUUAUGGUAAUAUUUUUAUUUUAUUGCCAAAAAAUAUAGUUAGUGUUGAUAUAAACAAGUAAACAUAAGCUUUAGCUCAAGGACGUAGCAGUUAGUACAGUUAGUUAAUUACUGUGCAUACUAACUUUGUGAAAAGUUAUAGUCUGAAAGUUAGUUGACACUAGAAGCUUAUUAACUCAUGUAUUAUAUACCUCUAUUGUACAUACUUUCCACAGUUUAUUAAAUACAAUCAGGAUUCAUUUUUACUCCUUAACAGUUACUUAUCUUCUUCCUCUCUUUUCGUCGUCUUCUUUAUUUUGUCUGCUUUUCUAUUUCUUUCUCCAUUGCUUCAAGAUAUGAAGCUUUAUGAUUUUCAUGAUCAUUAAUCUAUAAUCUAUGAAUUUUUCAUGGUAUCAAAGCCACACGAUCCACCUAUCUUCUGUGAUUAAAUCUUGAAAUUCUUUGUUACUUAUGACUACAACAAUCGAUUCUGGAAAUUACUUCUUGAUUCAGUUAUAUUUUACUCUGUUCUUUGAGUUAUCUCUCUGAUUCUUACUCUAUUUUACUUCUCAAAAUAAUCAAUUGACAAUCUUGUGAUCACCUUAUUGAAUUGAGUCACAAAUAGAUAUAAUUUCAAUCCCUGAAAGAGAAAUUUCUCAUCAAACUCUAAAGAAUGGAAUCUGCAAAUACUUCUGGAAAUGGAGCAGGAGUCACUCCUGCAACCACUAAUUCUACUUAGGCUUUGGGUCACAAUCAUCCAUUGUACUUGUACUCCACUGAUGUAAGUGGUAUUUGUUUGAUCUUUCUACAACUUACUAGUUCUAAAAACUACUUUUUAUGGAGUAAGUAUAUGAGAAUUGCUCUAUUGGAUAGGAGUAAGCUAAGUUUGUUGAUGGUUCUUGGAAGAAAGAACGUUUUAGUGCUGAUUUAGCCUAUUAAUGGGAACUAUGUAAUGUUAUAGUCCAGUCUUGGUUGAUGAAUACUAUAUCUGGUACUUUGCUAGGGGGAAUGGUGUAUGCUACUACAACAUGUGAAGUAUGAGAGGACUUGAGAGUAAGGUUUGAUUGAUGGUGUAAGAACAUUCGACCUGCAUAAGGAAAUUGCUACCUUAGUGCAGGGUAUUGUCUGUAGCCACAUAAUUCAACUUGGUUGAAAGAGUUAUGGGUAGUGCUUGAGGCAUUGGUAUUCCCUCCAAGUUGUAAUUGUCAAAAAAUCUAGAGAAUUCUUGUUCUAUCUGCAGAGACAGAAGUGUUAACAAUUCUUGACGGGCUUGAAUGAUAACUAUGUGCAAUCAAGAAGCCAGAUACUUAUGAUGGCUUUCUUACCCUCUGUGAAUCAGGAUUAUGUAUUAUCAUUAGUGUCGAGUCAUAAAAAUCUAGCUUAUGCCAUAAUCAUUAGUGAUGAGUCACAGAAAUCUAUGUCCUCGGCCUCAUUUGCAGUACUUUUUGGUGUAAUCCAGGCAUCACAUGUCCAUGAUCCUACUUUAAUUUAUUCUAAAACUGUAAACUCAAAGUUCAAGAAGAAUUUCAACUGUUAGCCCAUAUGUUAUUGGGCCUUUAGUUUAUGGACCUUUAGGUUAUUUGGCUAUGUAUAUAUAUAGCCUACUUUUGUUUUAGUUAUUUUUCAUGCUUUUCAGAUUAUAUUAUAAACCUUAGCCUUUCUUUCUUUCAAUAAAGUUCUAUUAACAUGGUAUCAAAGCUAGUUUGAUCCAUGUCCUUUGAUUUGUUGGUUGAAGAUUUUGUAGCAGGCACCUACUGCGCGGAUCGAACUCCGCGGUGAGUUCGCUGGGGGGUACGGGGGGCAGCGCGCCCCCGUCCGGGGUUCGGGGCGGAGCCCCGAAUUUUUUUUGAGGUGCUGCUGUAUUCGUUUGCUAUUUUCGUUGGGUUUUUUGGUUGGAUUGAUUCGUUGCUGUCUUCGUUUGCUGUCUGGUAUUGUUCGUCUUUCGUUCUUUUGCUUGCUGCCAUUGUUGUUCGUUCGGAAUUGUUCAACCUAGGGUUUUGCAUCUUUUUGUUUUUUGAAUUGUUUGUGUGUUGCUGUGUUUACAAUGACUGGAAAGGAUGAUUCUCUCCAGUCCAUUAGUACUCAAUUAGAUGGUAAGAACUAUGCCUAUUGGAGUUAUGUCAUGAAGAAUUUUCUUCGUGGGAAGAAUAUGUGGGGUUAUAUCACUGGAGUAAAACCAAGACCUAUCGAUGAUAAAACUGAAAAUUUUGAUUUGUUGGUGGACUUAUGGGAAACUAAUAACUCCAAGAUUAUCACUUGGAUCAACAAUUCUGUAACUCAGUCAAUUGGUAUGCAAUUGGCUAAGUAUGACACAGCAAAGGAGGUCUGGGAUCAUUUGGAAAGACUGUACACUCAGUCUAAUUUUGCUAAGCAGUACCAGUUGGAGUAUGAUAUCCGUGCUCUUCAACAGCAUGAUCUCAGUAUUCAAGAUUUUUAUGCUGCCAUGUCGGAUUUGUGGGAUCAAUUGGCACUUACUGAAUCUGCAGAGUUAAAAGGUUUUGGGCCGUACAUUGCUAGACGGGAAGAGCAACGCUUGGUUCAGUUUUUGAUGGCACUACGUUCUGACUUUGAGGGCCUACGUGGAACAAUCCUUCAUCGAUCUCCCCUCCCUACUGUUGAUUCUGUGGUUCAUGAACUGAUUACAGAGGAGACUCGUAUCAAGUCUCAAGUGGAUAAAGGGUCUAAAGUAACUACUACUCCUGUCGUGUUUGCUGCUUCAACUGAUCAGUCUAGGCCACCACGUACUCAGACUCGACAAUCUCCUAAAGUUGCAUUUGAUGAGUGUGCAUUCUGCAAACAGAAAAAUCAUUGGAAGGCUCAGUGUCCGUUGUUACUUAACAAGGUCAAACAGCCUCAAUCUGGGCAGCAACAGAAAUAUGGGCAGCAAAAGUCUCCGUCACGCUCCUCUGGUGCUCCUCCAUGGUCAUCUCGUCCUCCACAGUUCGCUGCUGCUGCACCAUCUGUAGAUGUUGAGUCUGUUAGCACUAUGCCACCUUCUGCGUUGGAUCCCCAGGUUUUCGAACAGUUCAGACAGUUCUUCGUUUCUAAUCCUACGGCCAUGUCAGCAUCUAUGUCUCAUUCGGGUUCAGUUUCUUCUAGUACCUCAGGUAUUCCUUCCUCCUUGUGGAUAUUGGAUUCUGGUGCGUCUCAUCACAUGUCCCCUCAUUUGUCAUCGUUUGGUUCUUUGUCACCCAUUUCACCAAUCUCUGUUAUGUCCGCGAGUGCUGUACCUAUGUCAGUCGAGGGUGUUGGUUCUGUUACUACCCCUCACAUUGUCCUCUCUGAUGUUUAUUACAUUCCCAAACUUGCUUUAAAUCUUGUUUCGGUCAGUCAGUUGUGUAAGGCUGGUAAUUGGGUGUUUUUUUCUGAUUCUGUUUGUGUUAUACAGGACCAACACACUCAGAGGGUGAUUGGGACCGGCCGUAGGUUGGGGGAACUCUAUGUCUUGGAGAAUCUCAAAGUGUCUGUAGUUGCUGCCUCUAGCAUAGAUUUAUCUUCUUUUCGUUUGAGUCCUUUGUCUUCUCAGUUUUAUCUUUGGCAUUCCAGAUUAGGACAUGUGUCAGUUUCACGUUUACGUUUUUUGGUCUCUAGUGGUGCUUUGGGUCAUGUGAACACUAGUGAUAUUUCAGAUUGUAGUGGUUGUAAACUGGCAAAAUUUUCUGCCUUACCGUUUAAUAAAAGUGUGUCUUAUUCUGUUGCUCCUUUUGAUAUUAUUCAUUCUGAUGUAUGGGGACCAGCGCCAGUAUCCACUAAGGGUGGAUCGACCUAUUAUGUUUCGUUUAUAGAUGACUAUACUCGUUAUACCUGGGUGUAUCUUAUGAAACGCAGAUCUGAUUUCUUUGGCAUUUACAACAACUUUAGAGCCCUUGUUAAAACACAACAUUCGGCUGUGAUAAAGUGUUUCAGGUGUGACUUAGGGGGUGAAUAUACCUCUAAUGACUUCACUCAGUUACUUGCCUCUGAUGGUACCAUACACCAGUCAUCUUGUACCGACACUCCUGAGCAGAACGGUCUGGCAGAAAGAAAACAUCGUCAUAUUGUUGAGACAGCACGCUCUUUACUUUUGUCUGCAGAGGUUCCUAGUAUUUUUUGGGGAGAAGCAGUUCUAACUGCUGUAUAUGUGAUUAAUCGUAUUCCUACUGCAUUGACUUCAGGGAUGUCUCCGUUUGAGAAACUAUAUGGUCACCCGCCGAAUUAUUCUGCAUUACGAGUUUUUGGAUGUACUUGCUUUGUUCUUCGUCCUCAUGUUGAACGAAAUAAGUUAGGGUCAAAAUCAGCUAUAUGUGUGUUUUUGGGGUAUGGUAUUGGACAAAAAGGAUAUCGUUGCUAUGAUCCUGUAAGUCAGAAAUUAUAUGUUUCACGACAUGUCACUUUUUUGGAACAUAUUCCUUUUUAUUCCAUUCCAGCUAAAACCCAUGAUGUGACAAAGUCAGAUAUUCGGCUUAUUGAUCCCUUUGGGAUUGACAUAGAGGUUCCAGUUCCGGAUUCAUCCAUGCCAUCUGGUGUGCCACCUGAUAGUGCUUCAGCCUCGCCUGUGCCUGAGUCUGCUCCUUCGACUGUUGAGACUGGAGACCCACCACCUCUGAGGAGGUCUACUCGACCUUGUAAGUCCACCAAACUGCCAGAUUUUUACUAUUCUACAUAUUCAGCCUCAUUUGCUUCCUUUAUUGCAAACAUACAUCAUUUGUCUGAACCUGAGUCGUAUAGAGAGGCUGUGUCUGAUCCUCUUUGGCAGAAUGCUAUGGCUGAGGAACUUGCUGCUCUUCAUCAUACACAUACAUGGGAUUUGGUUACUCUCCCACCUGGUAAGCAUGCGAUUGGUUGUCGAUGGGUGUAUAAGAUAAAAACAAAAUCUGAUGGGUCUGUUGAGCGAUACAAGGCAAGACUUGUGGCAAAAGGGUAUUCACAACAAUAUGGUAUGGAUUAUGAGGAGACUUUUUCCCCCGUAGCAAAGAUGACGACUGUUCGCACUAUGAUUGCUGUUGCAUCCGUUCGACAGUGGAAGAUAUUUCAGAUGGAUGUCAAGAAUGCUUUUCUGAAUGGUGAUCUCCACGCGGAAGUUUAUAUGACUCCUCCCCCAGGUAUUGACCACCAGCCAGGUGAAGUUUGUCGGCUUCGAAAAGCUUUAUAUGGUCUCAAACAAGCCCCUCGUGCUUGGUUUGAGAAAUUCUCCACUGUUAUUACUUCCCUUGGAUUUGUCCCGAGUAACCAUGAUUCAGCAUUGUUUGUUAGAUGUACAAGUGCAGGGCGAAUUCUAUUGUCCUUAUAUGUAGAUGAUAUGAUUAUUACUGGUGAUGAUCAUAGUGGUAUUGAGUUAUUGAAGCAUGAUUUGGCUCAUCGAUUUGCAAUGAAGGACUUGGGCUUGCUGCGUUAUUUUCUGGGUAUUGAGGUGGCUCAGUCUAAGAAAGGGUAUCUUCUUUCUCAGACUAAGUAUAUAUCUGACUUGUUUACACGGGCGCGUCUUUCUGACAACAGGACUGUAGAUACUCCCCUUGAAACCAAUGCACGUUACUCUCCUAGUGAUGGUGUUCCAUUAUCAGAUCCGAGUCUUUAUCGGACUAUUGUGGGUAGUUUGGUUUAUCUUACGGUUACUCGUCCAGAUAUAGCACAUGCAGUUCAUGUUGUUAGCCAGUUUGUUACUGCUCCUACUUCUGUGCACUGGGGAGCUGUACUUCGUAUUCUAAGGUAUCUUCGUGGCACUCAGUUUCAGAAUCUCUUGUUUCCCUCGACGUCAUCUCUCGAGUUGCGAGCCUAUAGUGAUGCUGAUUGGGAUGGAGAUCGCAAUGAUCGUAAAUCCACCACUGGUUUUUGUGUGUUUCUUGGAGACUCUUUAAUCUCGUGGAAGAGCAAGAAACAAGAUGUUGUCUCUAGAUCUUCCACGGAGGCUGAGUAUCGUGCUAUGGCUGUGACUACAUGUGAGAUUAUUUGGUUACGUUGGCUUCUUGCAGAUAUGGGGGUUCACAUUUCUAUGCCUACUCCCCUGCAUUGUGAUAACAAAAGUGCGGUACAAAUUGCAAAGAAUUCUGUCUUCCAUGAGCGUACGAAGCACAUUGAGAUUGAUUGUCACUUCACCCGUCAUCAUUUACAGCUCGGGACCAUAUCGCUUCCUUUUGUUCCAUCGUCUUUGCAGAUUGCUGACCUUUUUACGAAGGCUCAGUCGGCGUCUCGAUUUCGUUUUUUGUGUGACAAACUCUCAAUGCUUAUUGCUGUUGCAUUGUGAGUUUGAGGGGGGAUGUUAGCCCAUAUGUUAUUGGGCCUUUAGUUUAUGGACCUUUAGGUUAUUGGCUAUGUAUAUAUAGCCUACUUUUGUUUAGUUAGUUUCAGGCUUUUCAGAUUAUAUUGUAAACCUUAGCCUUUCUUCCCUUCAAUAAAGUUCUAUUAACACCUAUAUAGUCCGGUAAUUUGUUCUUUCGUAUAUCCAAAUUCAAUAUUCCAUUUAUGUAUCCAUGGAAUAGAGAAUUCAAUGAAGAAAUACAUCUGAUCGAUCUUAUCUAAAUUACAUACAUGAUCAGAAUGAUAUAAUUCUGUCAGGAAAGGUGAAACUUUAAUCCAUUCUUUAUAUAACUGGAGUAAAACCAAGACCUAUCGAUGAUAAAACUGAAAAUUUUGAUUUGUUGGUGGACUUAUGGGAAACUAAUAACUCCAAGAUUAUCACUUGGAUCAACAAUUCUGUAACUCAGUCAAUUGGUAUGCAAUUGGCUAAGUAUGACACAGCAAAGGAGGUCUGGGAUCAUUUGGAAAGACUGUACACUCAGUCUAAUUUUGCUAAGCAGUACCAGUUGGAGUAUGAUAUCCGUGCUCUUCAACAGCAUGAUCUCAGUAUUCAAGAUUUUUAUGCUGCCAUGUCGGAUUUGUGGGAUCAAUUGGCACUUACUGAAUCUGCAGAGUUAAAAGGUUUUGGGCCGUACAUUGCUAGACGGGAAGAGCAACGCUUGGUUCAGUUUUUGAUGGCACUACGUUCUGACUUUGAGGGCCUACGUGGAACAAUCCUUCAUCGAUCUCCCCUCCCUACUGUUGAUUCUGUGGUUCAUGAACUGAUUGCAGAGGAGACUCGUAUCAAGUCUCAAGUGGAUAAAGGGUCUAAAGUAACUACUACUCCUGUCGUGUUUGCUGCUUCAACUGAUCAGUCUAGGCCACCACGUACUCAGACUCGACAAUCUCCUAAAGUUGCAUUUGAUGAGUGUGCAUUCUGCAAACAGAAAAAUCAUUGGAAGGCUCAGUGUCCGUUGUUACUUAACAAGGUCAAACAGCCUCAAUCUGGGCAGCAACAGAAAUAUGGGCAGCAAAAGUAUCCGUCACGCCCAUCUGGUGCUCCUCCGUGGUCAUCUCGUCCUCCACAGUUCGCUGCUGCUGCACCAUCUGUAGAUGUUGAGUCUGUUAGCACUAUGCCACCUUCUGCGUUGGAUCCCCAGGUUUUCGAACAGUUCAGACAGUUCUUCGUUUCUAAUCCUACGGCCAUGUCAGCAUCUAUGUCUCAUUCGGGUUCAGUUUCUUCUAGUACCUCAGGUAUUCCUUCCUCCUUGUGGAUAUUGGAUUCUGGUGCGUCUCAUCACAUGUCCCCUCAUUUGUCAUCGUUUGGUUCUUUGUCACCCAUUUCACCAAUCUCUGUUAUGUCCGCGAGUGCUGUACCUAUGUCAGUCGAGGGUGUUGGUUCUGUUACUACCCCUCACAUUGUCCUCUCUGAUGUUUAUUACAUUCCCAAACUUGCUUUAAAUCUUGUUUCGGUCAGUCAGUUGUGUAAGGCUGGUAAUUGGGUGUUUUUUUCUGAUUCUGUUUGUGUUAUACAGGACCAACACACUCAGAGGGUGAUUGGGACCGGCCGUAGGUUGGGGGAACUCUAUGUCUUGGAGAAUCUCAAAGUGUCUGUAGUUGCUGCCUCUAGCAUAGAUUUAUCUUCUUUUCGUUUGAGUCCUUUGUCUUCUCAGUUUUAUCUUUGGCAUUCCAGAUUAGGACAUGUGUCAGUUUCACGUUUACGUUUUUUGGUCUCUAGUGGUGCUUUGGGUCAUGUGAACACUAGUGAUAUUUCAGAUUGUAGUGGUUGUAAACUGGCAAAAUUUUCUGCCUUACCGUUUAAUAAAAGUGUGUCUUAUUCUGUUGCUCCUUUUGAUAUUAUUCAUUCUGAUGUAUGGGGACCAGCGCCAGUAUCCACUAAGGGUGGAUCGACCUAUUAUGUUUCGUUUAUAGAUGACUAUACUCGUUAUACCUGGGUGUAUCUUAUGAAACGCAGAUCUGAUUUCUUUGGCAUUUACAACAACUUUAGAGCCCUUGUUAAAACACAACAUUCGGCUGUGAUAAAGUGUUUCAGGUGUGACUUAGGGGGUGAAUAUACCUCUAAUGACUUCACUCAGUUACUUGCCUCUGAUGGUACCAUACACCAGUCAUCUUGUACCGACACUCCUGAGCAGAACGGUCUGGCAGAAAGAAAACAUCGUCAUAUUGUUGAGACAGCACGCUCUUUACUUUUGUCUGCAGAGGUUCCUAGUAUUUUUUGGGGAGAAGCAGUUCUAACUGCUGUAUAUGUGAUUAAUCGUAUUCCUACUGCAUUGACUUCAGGGAUGUCUCCGUUUGAGAAACUAUAUGGUCACCCGCCGAAUUAUUCUGCAUUACGAGUUUUUGGAUGUACUUGCUUUGUUCUUCGUCCUCAUGUUGAACGAAAUAAGUUAGGGUCAAAAUCAGCUAUAUGUGUGUUUUUGGGGUAUGGUAUUGGACAAAAAGGAUAUCGUUGCUAUGAUCCUGUAAGUCAGAAAUUAUAUGUUUCACGACAUGUCACUUUUUUGGAACAUAUUCCUUUUUAUUCCAUUCCAGCUAAAACCCAUGAUGUGACAAAGUCAGAUAUUCGGCUUAUUGAUCCCUUUGGGAUUGACAUAGAGGUUCCAGUUCCGGAUUCAUCCAUGCCAUCUGGUGUGCCACCUGAUAGUGCUUCAGCCUCGCCUGUGCCUGAGUCUGCUCCUUCGACUGUUGAGACUGGAGACCCACCACCUCUGAGGAGGUCUACUCGACCUUGUAAGUCCACCAAACUGCCAGAUUUUUACUAUUCUACAUAUUCAGCCUCAUUUGCUUCCUUUAUUGCAAACAUACAUCAUUUGUCUGAACCUGAGUCGUAUAGAGAGGCUGUGUCUGAUCCUCUUUGGCAGAAUGCUAUGGCUGAGGAACUUGCUGCUCUUCAUCAUACACAUACAUGGGAUUUGGUUACUCUCCCACCUGGUAAGCAUGCGAUUGGUUGUCGAUGGGUGUAUAAGAUAAAAACAAAAUCUGAUGGGUCUGUUGAGCGAUACAAGGCAAGACUUGUGGCAAAAGGGUAUUCACAACAAUAUGGUAUGGAUUAUGAGGAGACUUUUUCCCCCGUAGCAAAGAUGACGACUGUUCGCACUAUGAUUGCUGUUGCAUCCGUUCGACAGUGGAAGAUAUUUCAGAUGGAUGUCAAGAAUGCUUUUCUGAAUGGUGAUCUCCACGCGGAAGUUUAUAUGACUCCUCCCCCAGGUAUUGACCACCAGCCAGGUGAAGUUUGUCGGCUUCGAAAAGCUUUAUAUGGUCUCAAACAAGCCCCUCGUGCUUGGUUUGAGAAAUUCUCCACUGUUAUUACUUCCCUUGGAUUUGUCCCGAGUAACCAUGAUUCAGCAUUGUUUGUUAGAUGUACAAGUGCAGGGCGAAUUCUAUUGUCCUUAUAUGUAGAUGAUAUGAUUAUUACUGGUGAUGAUCAUAGUGGUAUUGAGUUAUUGAAGCAUGAUUUGGCUCAUCGAUUUGCAAUGAAGGACUUGGGCUUGCUGCGUUAUUUUCUGGGUAUUGAGGUGGCUCAGUCUAAGAAAGGGUAUCUUCUUUCUCAGACUAAGUAUAUAUCUGACUUGUUUACACGGGCGCGUCUUUCUGACAACAGGACUGUAGAUACUCCCCUUGAAACCAAUGCACGUUACUCUCCUAGUGAUGGUGUUCCAUUAUCAGAUCCGAGUCUUUAUCGGACUAUUGUGGGUAGUUUGGUUUAUCUUACGGUUACUCGUCCAGAUAUAGCACAUGCAGUUCAUGUUGUUAGCCAGUUUGUUACUGCUCCUACUUCUGUGCACUGGGGAGCUGUACUUCGUAUUCUAAGGUAUCUUCGUGGCACUCAGUUUCAGAAUCUCUUGUUUCCCUCGACGUCAUCUCUCGAGUUGCGAGCCUAUAGUGAUGCUGAUUGGGAUGGAGAUCGCAAUGAUCGUAAAUCCACCACUGGUUUUUGUGUGUUUCUUGGAGACUCUUUAAUCUCGUGGAAGAGCAAGAAACAAGAUGUUGUCUCUAGAUCUUCCACGGAGGCUGAGUAUCGUGCUAUGGCUGUGACUACAUGUGAGAUUAUUUGGUUACGUUGGCUUCUUGCAGAUAUGGGGGUUCACAUUUCUAUGCCUACUCCCCUGCAUUGUGAUAACAAAAGUGCGGUACAAAUUGCAAAGAAUUCUGUCUUCCAUGAGCGUACGAAGCACAUUGAGAUUGAUUGUCACUUCACCCGUCAUCAUUUACAGCUCGGGACCAUAUCGCUUCCUUUUGUUCCAUCGUCUUUGCAGAUUGCUGACCUUUUUACGAAGGCUCAGUCGGCGUCUCGAUUUCGUUUUUUGUGUGACAAACUCUCAAUGCUUAUUGCUGUUGCAUUGUGAGUUUGAGGGGGGAUGUUAGCCCAUAUGUUAUUGGGCCUUUAGUUUAUGGACCUUUAGGUUAUUGGCUAUGUAUAUAUAUAGCCUACUUUUGUUUUAGUUAUUUUUCAUGCUUUUCAGAUUAUAUUGUAAACCUUAGCCUUUCUUUCUUUCAAUAAAGUUCUAUUAACAUCAACUUGUUUUGUAAGUUUUGCAAAAUGAAAGGACUUACUAAACAUUUGUUAUAAGCUGGUUGGGUAUCCUAAUGAAGCAAGGUUCAAAAAGAAAGGUGGAGUAGAGUCAUCUAGCUUCAAGUCAGGAUCAGGCUCUUUUGGACUUUCUACUCAUAAUGUCUAUACAGAAAAGGUCAAUGAAGGCUAUGGGCCAGAGGUGCAUGAUGGAAAGAAUCAAGGAUCCAUACAAGGCUUGAAUAUAGCUUAGAUGGGAGCCGGUGCAUUUACUCAGAUUCAGUAUGAUCAAAUUGUCCGACUGCUUAAUCAGACUCGGUUGCAAUUUAAUAGUAGCGGAAUUUAAGGACCCUCAGCAAGUGCUGCAGGUGGUUCAGGUAUACCUAGUUCUAAAGCCUUCUUAGUGUCAAAAAUUCUCAAACAAUGGAUUAUUGACGCUGGGGGUAACAAAUCAAAUAGUUUCUGAUAUGAAUAUGCUAGAUAGUGUAUCCAUAAGGAAAAAAACAGAUCCUUAAGGUAUUCAGUUACCUAGUGAUAAGGAAAAAAAACAUAUCCUUAAGGUAUUCAGUUACCUAGUGAUAAAAUGCACUAGUAAAUUACAUUGGAUCAAGUUUCAUUUCUAAACCCAACACACUAAACAAUGUAUUUCUACUGCCACGAUUCAAAUAUAAUCUCUUAUUAGUGUCACAGCUACCAAAAACUCAAAUUGUAUAACUUUGUUUAUCCUAAUUUGUGAGUUUUUCAGGAUCCCUCAAAUGGAAAGGUGAAAGAGAUUGGUAAAGAGUGUGAAGGACUAUAUCUAUUGUUCAAUCAAUCAGAUGGAAACCUGAAAGAUGUUACAUUGUCUGCUCAAGAGACAGUGUCAGUUAGUGAUGCUGAUAUAAGUCUAUGGCAUAAGAGAUUUGGCCAUGUUUCUAGUAGAACUUUAACUAGUAUGCUUCUUAUAAGACAUAAUAAUAUGGUUGUUAUUGUCAAAACGUGUGAAAUACGUCCACAUGCUAAAUAAUGUAGACUACCAUUUCCUUCUAGCAAGUCACUCUAUUGAUAGAUUUGAUCUUGUUCAUAUGUGUCACGACUCAAAAGUGGAGUGAUGAUGACACUUGUUACGGUCCAACCUUGACUUGUAAGUCGAUCACCAAACAAUACAGAAAAUCCAACAAGAAUGAAUAUAAUAAGACAAGACUUAUGGAACGAAGUUAGGCCAAUAACAAAAUUUAAUGAGGCGAAAAUCUGAAAAAGUAACAUAAAUCAUCCAAAAUCUGAUGUCAUAAUGCAAGAGCAUCUAAGUACAAAAUUUAAAACAGAAAAUACAAAAGUUGUCUCUAUUCCAAAUAAAGACAUAUGGAUUGGAUGAGAUUUGAUUUCCACCCUGAACAGUAGAAUGAUCUUGUACCUCGAAUUUGGUUAACUCCGCUCGAAACCUCAACCACCACAUGAAGUGCUCGAACUAGAAUCUACAUUAAAAGGGCACAAUAGGGAUAAGUACAGUCCAUUUGUACUCAGUAGGUAUCGUAUACCGACUGAGCAAAGUAAAAAAUAAGGUAAGUAAACAACACUAUAAGAACGUUACCUGCAAGCAGAAAAGUUCUAAAUGAUAGCUUAUGCCGUUUUCACUAACAGUUCUAAGAUAUAUACUUGCACAAAAAUAGUAACAACACAGAUAUACAUGUAAAAUAUAGUAAACUAAGCACAAUACAAGGAAGCUAAAGAAAUAACAAAAGGCACAAGUUCAAAUGCAGUGCAAUGCAAUGAAAUAUAGAUGGAGUGAAUGGUAAAAGCCAUCACAUGACUCUCUAUAUACACCCAGUGAGCACAACUUCUAAGUAGGACCCAUGAGGGGUUCACAACCCAUAUACUAGUAACUAAUAUCUCAAAUAUCAACCGACCUCUCCGGUUUGUGUUCACAGAGAGGGCUUUUAUAAAAGUGUCUCAUUUUCUUUUUAAAAUAGUGUUCCACAAUUGUACCAAUAUCUCAUGAAUGUAUAUGUAUGGAAUGAGGAUGUAAUGCUCACAAUCAACUCAACAUGAAGAUAUCCAAUGCAUCCAAUAUGUAUAUAUGUAACCCCAGAAAUCAACUCAAUAUGUCCAUAACUCAUGAUUAUCAACUCUAAUUAGGCACCAUCGAAAUAAAUACACAUGUAAGACAUUAUUUAUAUCAUAUCAACCCCAAGUCAAAUAUUUUUAUCAUUAUAAGGGCAACCAAUGCUCAAAAAUCCAAAAUAACACUUCAAGCCCCCUCAUGGAUAUUUUAUAUAUCUAGAAUAAAGGAAUUUAAAUGCACAGAUAAUGAAAUUGAUGUCAAAUAAAGCUUCCACAUGGGCAAUACACAAUAUCAUGUAUCACAAGUCAACAACAAUAAAAUAUAAGCUCCCACACGAGCACACAACUGUAAUAGUAAUUCUCAAAAUAUAAACCCUAUAUAUGUAGAAACUGAAGGUAAACGGUCUCAUAUAUUAAUAAAGUCUUUAACUUGGAAGUAUUUAUCAACUCUCUAAAUGAAAACAUAAACAAUCUGACAAGCCUCUACUCAUGACUAGGGUGACACUGGGACAGACCCUAGCUUACCAGAAUAAAACUAGAAAUCAAAUAACUAAAAUGCUUUCAUCAAUGAAUAAACGUCUGAUAAACUAGAUCCUCGGACUAUGAGGACUCACCAAAAGUCAGGAUGUAGGUGAUGAUGCUCGUAGUCAAUCGUACUAUUAAAAACGAGCACCAGAACCUACAUUAUAAGAUAAUAUAGCACAUAGACAUAUAUGUGGGUUAGUACCUCUUGAAUGUAUUGAGUAUGUGGGGGUGAAUGCAUAAGUAAAAUGAUAACUGGCUAUUUAUAUAAACUUUCAAAUGAUUCAUGCUAAGCGUAAAUGACUCACCUUGAGGUUGAAUAAAAUAAAGACCACAAAAUCAUGAUCAUGCAUAAUAAAGCAUAAUAUUGAAAUUUGUGAGCCAUAAUACUUAGUUUCUAAAAGCUUUACUUUUAUUCUUCCUUAUGGAAGAUUCUUCUAACUGACAUAAACCAUGUGAGCUACCAUGGAGUCCAACGUCUUACCCACAUUGGGGAGAGCUGUUCUACCCUUACCAUCGAAAUAUAACCUUAACUUAAGUGAUCACUAUACUUUAUCUAUACUGGAAAAAAGCUUGACCUAUGUUGGCUCAUAGUUUUUAGGAAUUUAGGAUACGUACAUCUGCAUUCCUUUCUCGGUGCUAAAUACUACUCCCAACAUACUUAUAUGCUCAUACUUUAAGAAAUCUACCUUAAAAUAGCAUAAGGGUUUAUAAACUGAAAACCAAUUAUGGUUCUCUUUUCUUAAAUCACAAUCAGGAUGAAUAAUUAUGGAUUUUAUAUCUUGUCUUAGGAUCAAAAGAUCAAUCUUUGAUUUAAAUCAUGUCAUAAAACUGAUCAAUGGAGCUUAAGAGCAUAAUCUUCUUGUUAACUCAAUACUUGAACUUAGAGCUUAGAAUUUAUACUUUAAUUCAUAGAAAUUCAUGACAAAACAUCAUGUUAAAUAAUUAUCUUGAAUUCUUUCGACAAUAUCUCAGUCAAGAUAAUCAAAUUCAAAUCACAAUAUGAAUCUUAUAAAUCAAAACAUGAAUAUAAGUAAAUCUUGAUGCACUUAAAGUUUUCAAUCACAUGGUAGUAUCAUACUAUAGAAUAUGGUUAUUUGGGUAUGAACCCUAAUUCAAAAUAAGUAAAUUCAAUCAUAAAAUUAUGAUAUUUAGGCACAAGGAUGGAAGAUUAUCCUUGUUCAUAAACCCCCACAUACCUAAAGUUUCUUGACUUGUGAAGAAAUUUUAAAUCUUGAGACUUGAAGGAUGAACUUGUGAGAGAAUCCCUAAUUUUGAUGUCCUCGAAGAUGAGAGGAUGUAAGCUUGUUAUUUGAUUGAGGAAUAGAGGAAAAUAAUGCCUCUUUGAGGGUUAUAGGUCUUGGUUGGAAGUUAUAAGAGAGGAAAAGACCAAAAAGUCCUUAGCUGAAUUUUACAGAAACUGCUCAUCGAUCUUUAUGAGUCUACCAUAUGACUCGUAUGGAAGGGUACGAAUUAACUCAUCAACUCAUAAGCUUAGCAGACUCAAGGAGGGUAUACACUAGUCAAUAUACGAGUUCCACUUAUGACUAGUAUCAUCUUCAUACGAAUCUUACCCCCUACUCAUAGCUUGGAUAGAAUCUUAGGAAGGCUACACUGAUGAACCUACGACUUACUUCAUAUGAAUCGUAUGAUGAUCUUGUGACUCCUAAGGAUUUCAUCAUACCUUCAAUAGAAUGUCCACUAUGCUACACUGUCUUGGAUAUGAUUCACCAUACAUGACUUGUAUGGAGUAUGUACAACUCAAGGGAGAAGACGUAUAAUGCACUGAAACUCCUAGACACAGGGGUAUUACAAUAGAAAAAUAACGAGGCAUAGCAAGGGGCUCACAUGCAACAUCAAAGUCAGAAAAAAAAUAUGUAUACAUAUAGAAGAUUAUAGAAGAGGGGUUAAAUAACAUGAAAGCUGAUCUAUAGAAAACUAGAAUGAUACCUAUAAUAACUGCAUCAAAAACUUCUGCCUUGGGUCUCCCAAAUAUAGCAUAACACUGACCACAUGUGCUCCUAGACUGAGUGUCUCUAUGAUCACCUCCAUAAGCUCCCCUACCUAUAUCUCUAGCACAUCUAGUACCACUAGCACAACCCCUACCACUCUAUGAACCACCUCUCACUGUAGAAAUUAGAGUAGGACAAACCUGAAGUUGAGAACCCCACUAAGUGGAUCAAUACAAACGUUAAGAGAAAUCCCUAAAAACAUGGAGAAACUCAUCACAUACAAAACAUACCAAAUCCCUAGACACAUGGACAAACUCAUCACAUAUAAAACAUACCUUACAGCCCGACUCAAUUUGAGAAGGUACAAAUAAACUAGAACGACCAUCCUGGCCUAAAGAACCAAUUCUAGAGCUUUCAAUAACAUGACCUAAUAUCUGGCUACCAGAAGCUGCAAAACCUGAGGACCUACCACAUAAACCCUACAACAUAGUAUGCAUGAGACUACCAUGAUAACCACUGGAACCUCUAAUAAAUAAAUCUCUACCUCUAAAGGAGUGUCAACUAAACUCACCCUCAAUCAUUUUAGCAUGCUCAAUAAUACUCUAGAAACAAGCCCCUGAAACUACCAUAGGGGUUGUAGUCAACUGAUAUGUACCAUCUAACUCCUUCAUAAAUUUUUGAAUCCUCUCAGAUUCAAUGGAGAUGCUAGCAGAUGGAUAUCUAGAUAAGGUGUGAAAAUGUUCCUCAUAAUCGAUAAUAGACAUAGAGCUCUAAUCCAAAUAAUCAAACUUAUCCCCAAUCUAAUUUCUCAAUCUAUAUGACACAAACCUGUCCAAGAAGGACUCUAAAAAUUGAGUCCAAGUUACAGAAGGCAAACCUAAAGGCCUAAAACAAGCAAACAACCUCCACCAAUCCCUAGUCAUAUCCGUCAAUAGAUAGGUAGUGUAAACAACUCCAUGAGACUCAAAGGAUCUAAUAUUAUGUAAUUUUUUUGUCAAUUAAUCAAAAACUUAUAGGAAUUCUCGCCAAUAGCUCUACUAAACUUAGGCAAACCCACGUGAAUAAACCUCUCAAAAUUUUUUUGAUCAUCAAAAAACAUAAUUAUACCAAAGCAACUAGAGAAAUAGUGAGUCUGGUAGGCAAAAAGUCCAUAUGUGAGGGAACUAUAGAUGAUGGUUGUACCUUAGAAGUAGGAAUGCCAUAAGUAGAUGCCAGUACUAAUGGUGGAACAUUACUAGAAGUAUGAGAAAUACUAGGUACACUCAAGGGAACGUAUUCUAAAUGAGUCAAGGGAACAGAUUCCAAACGGCUCAAGAGAUGAACCAAAAGACUCUAAAGCACCAGGGUGUCGACUGAACCCUAUUGAACUUGAGUUGUCCCCGCAUCUCCUGUCUGAUAAUCAUCUCAAGCAUACUUAAACUUAGGCUCAAGAGAGGUCUCCCUAGUACAUCCUCUGACUGGGGCAGCUCCUCAUGCCUGAACCCUAUGGGCCUUUCACAACCCCUAUUUCGCCAUCUAGUCUGGUCUUCAUCUUUAGGUAUACUGGCUCAACAUCCCUAGCCUCUCAAGAUAUAGUCCUCACCACCUAUGUUGAAAAAAAUGGAAUACAACUUAGAAUAUUUGAUAAGAAUAACUUAUAUGAUUAGUGUUUUAUCCUUUUCGGAUUUUAUUUGGCGAGAAAAUAGUUUUGACCUCUUAAAACUAUUUCAAAAAAUUCAAAAAAAGUUCAAAAUAAUUUUAAGAAACUCACAGAAUCACCACUUGAUUUUUAUAGAAAAAAUCAAGAGAAAACUUAAAAUAGAUUCAAAGGUUAAAAAAUAGGAAUAAACCUUUAAAAAUAGAGAAACUGGGUAAGGGUUCAAUUAACGCCCUAAGAAGGUUUUUAAGGUACUUAGGUUUGUCUAUUUAAAAUGGUUUACCAAAAAGAACUAACUUGACUAACUAAAAAUGACUAAUUUUUGUAAAGACUUGAUUUUAGAGAAAAUAUUAAAAUUAUUUAUUUAAACAUUUAAAAAUAAUAUUUAUUUAUUUAGAGGAGAAAAUAAUUUAUUUGAAUUGAACUAAAUUAUAAUUUUUCGAACUUUAGGAGGAAAUGAAUUUUGCCUUUGUUGGAGAAGAAGAUUAUGAAAUUAUUUUCUUAUUAUUAAUUAUUAUAAAAAAAAGUUGAUUAUGUUAUAAAUAAUAGUUUGGAAAAAAUAUUAAGAGAGUAUUAAAUUAAAAAUAUCUUAUUAAUUAUGGAAAGUUAAAACUUAUAAGAAAAUUUAGUUUGUUGAGUUUGAAGAAAGUUAUUUUAAUCCAAAUAGACUAUUAAUUGCAUGAACAUAACAAAAUGUCAUUUUGAAAUAAAAUACUUAAUCUUUAAAAGACUUGAUUUAAGGGAAAAAUUGAAAGAACCAUUUUAAUCCGUUUUUAGACGAGACAAAUUAGAUGAAAAAAAGGAAUUAUGACUUAAAUAAAGAAAAUUAAGAUAAAAAAAAAUGACAAUACUUUAAAAAUUUUAUCUAGAUUAAUUUAUUAGAGCGUUAGUACACAUAAACAAAGAUGAAUUAUAAGCUACAAAAAAUAAUAUAAGAAUUGAAAUUGGGCCCUCAAUUGGCCCAUUAAUAAAGCUGCCCAGUUUUGAGCUUUGAAUUACGGACUUCAGUUCAUUUUUCUGAAGUGUAUACCAGCUGCAUAUCAUCCCCUUUUCUUCCUGCGUUUUUGUAUAUCUGGUGUAUACAUGACCAUAUAUUGGUCCUAUAUACACGUAUUUUAGUCCUCCACUUGUAUAAUAAGCUUCUUUUUUCUCAUAUUCACCAUAUAUCUAUUGUAUAUCUGCUGUAUACACACAUAUACAACCUUGUUUCUUGUCUCUCAGUCCAUUUUUGGGACUUUGAUUGAGGCUCGGACACGACGGAGUUCAAAUGCGAGAGUAAUGAGAAUCCAAAUGGACCCAUUUAAGACAGUUCAUGCACAAAUUGAGAAAUUGAAAAGAAUUAGUACUGAAUCUUUAAAGAGGCAAAGAGAUAAAUUAAAUUCAUGUAAAUAUUUUACAAAUGGUUGAGUCAAAUAAACAGGACAUCAUACGUGUAUUUAUGCUAACAUGAUGCAAGCAGUUAAGCCAACUUGAUAAUUUCACCAUGUGAACAGAAAGAAACCAGAUUAAAUGGUUGCAACAAAAAUUGAUUCAAGCCACAGGAAAGAUCUACAUUAAUUACAAUUAUGAUAAAAAUAAGUUAGGACAGUGGCCUGUAACAUGCUUAGAACCUAAAUUUAUGAAAGAGAAAAAAAAAAAAUGAAGGCGGCAACUAUAUAAGAAACAAGAAAGUACGAAUAGUGGGGUCAAAAGACACAAGCAGCAACAAUUAAGUUUUGGACAACAAAAUUCAUAGGAAACAAGAAACUAUGAACAUAGAAUUAAGAAACACAACAAGCAACAACUAAGUUUUGGACAAUAAAAUGCAUAGGAAACAAGAAACUAUGAAUAUAGGAUUAAGAAACACAACAAGCAGCAACUAAGUUUUAGACAGCCACAUACAUAAGAAACAAGAAGAUACGAACACGGGGUUAAAACGAGCGUUGAGGAUUGAUAACAUCUUCGACUAAUAAAGUUAGUAGUUAUAUUUUUCUAGUGUUACUAGCUUUCUGCAAUAUUUUGCAAGCUAAUUUCUAACCGAAUAAAAAAAGAAGGCAGAUUCAAACAUACAGCUAAAACAAAAAUUCAAACAGAGGACAAAAAGGAUUCAAGUGGCUACUACUAAUUUCAGAUUCUUGAAUUGAAAUGAAAGACGAGGAUAAUUACUAACCUUUUUCGGGGCAGCGAAUCCGGGAAGAUGAAUGGACGACGAGCUUUCAACACCGGAGUUUAAAUUUCGAAUCUUUGGAUUUUAAUUUUCUUCGGAAUUGAGUUUUUGAGUAUGUUUCUUCGAGGAUUUUUGGUUACAUAGGAUUGGAAGCAAGCGCCACCCAAAUCUCAAUUUUUCCCCAAAAAUUCUCCCCCCUUUCACUCUACAUAUAUGGGUAUUUAUAGUGAAUUUUGGGGGGAAAUCGGAAGGAUAAACAAGGAAAAACUAGUUGAGAUUUGAAUUUCAAAAUUGAGAUAAGGUUUGACCUGGAAUUUGUGCAGAAUCUGAACUUUGUUGCUAAGCUGUUGAAAUUGUAGUCGUUGGUGUUUUGGAGUUGUUUGGUACGCUGCUUCACUGUUGUUGCUGUCGGGUUAUUAAUGUUGUUGUCACAUUUUAUUGUUGAAGUUGUUGCGUGGUUGUUCUGUUGUUGAUGUUGAAAUUGUACAGCGUUGUCGCUGCUGCCUGUGUUGUUGGAUAAGAGGGACUAGGUGUAUAAAGGUGUGGGCCGGGUCACAGGUGAGUGAAUUAGGCCGCUGGUUUGUUGCGUUUUUUAUUGUUUUUGUGGGCUGAUUUGGGU